AAUUUAAUAUAUAAAGUAAAAGUCUAAUUUGAUAGCACCAAAGGCUCGGUGCUAUUAAUAGUAUAGUAACCAGACUCUAUCUUUUUUACUCUGAAAUUAUCAAAAUUAGCUCUGAAAAUAUUAAUUCUCCUAUUUAUAUACCUAUCUAAUGUAUAAAUGUAUCUAAUCUUAUUUAAAAUAGUUAUCAUCACAACUAAAUUUAAAUUUUAUAAUUAAAUAAAAUUUUAAAAAUAUUUGUGUGCGGCAUGGAAUUGCGGAAUCCUAGGAAGAUGGGGUGCACGUGGACCUGCGUGUGGACCGGGUGCAGCCAAUAUUUUUUUCACUGCGGCAAUGGAUACUCCCAAGUCUUUGGAUUUUCACUAACAAUACAUUAUAAGCUAUUAUAAUUAAUACAAUUGUAAAAUAAUACAGCGGUUAUAAUUAAUACAAUUGUAAAAUAAUACAGCGGUUCACAUUACGUGUAUAAAUUAGUUAAAAAUUUAUCAGUCGAGGAAAAAUAAAUUAUAAGCAACAUUUGUAUAUCAUACACUACAUAUUAGUAAUAAAGCACAAAUUUUAACUACAAUUAGGGCGUGUUUGGUUUGCUUCUUUUUCACCCUGGAAUCGGAAUUGGAAUGGGUGAAUCCGUUUGUGGGUGUUUGGUACGCAGGAGUUCCAUUCCGAUUCCGAUUCCCGAGUGGAAUGGAAAUCCCUCAAUCACCUUUUUUUUUCAAUCCGGCCUAGGCCGGAUUGGAAGUUGAAUCCAGACGGAAUGGAUAUUUAUUCGAAUUAAAUUUAUUUUUUCAACUUUUUUAAUUAAAAUAUGAGUUAAAUUUUAAAAAUUAAAUAUAUAAUUUUAAAUUUUAAUUUGAACUUAAAUUAAAAAUUAAAAUUUAAUCAAGUAUUUNAUAAAUUAUAAGCAACAUUUUUAUAUCAUAUAUUUAUCGACUAUUAUUUUUAUCAUAUAUUUCAUUCUUACUAUUUACAAUGUAUACAAUAAUUUUUGUAUAAGAAUUAAGAACUACCUUUCUAAAUUAAAAGUGUACGUUUAUGAUUGACGAAAAAAGAAGAUGAACUAGAUGCAAGUAAUAUUAUGUCUUUAUCUAUAAUAAAGACUAAAAUAAUAUUAUUGUUAAAAAUUAAGUUAUGGAUAUUGAAAUCAUAAGUCUAAGGAUCAAAAUGAAACAUGACUAAAAAUUCAGAAAAUAGAAUUGCAAUUUAAUUAUCCUUUUAUAACCAAUUAACAUAUUUGUAAAAUUAUGAAAAAUAUUAUCAGUACAUCCACACAGGAUUGUAAAUUUUACAUCCUUACAUCCAAAGAUUUAAAAAACCUUUUUAAUUUUUCAAUUAAAAAAAUGAUUAAACAAGUGAGCCGGUUCAGACCAUAAAGAGCAUAGAAUUUAAAAUAUAUGCUGCUUUUGAUUACAUAUAUAUAAACUAAUAAAUCAAAAUACUUUAUAUUAUAUUUACUAUUAUAUAUAUACAUGCAUUAAUAAUUUAUAAGAGCAAUAAUAUUUAGAAAAAUUACCACAGUGCUCAUUCUAGUUAAGCACCACAUCCAAGUAUGGCAGAGUAAUUAGAGUGCACAUUAAUAAUAUCAACCAAUCUCAUCAACCAAUACAUACAUAAAAUUAGGAAUAAUUGCUUGAAAAUAUCCGAUUUAUCCAUAUUUUUUUUUUCUUUCUAAAAUACCCCUCAUAUGUUCCACCGUUAUUACAAAAUACCCCCGCAGUUAUCUUCUGUUAAUUAAGCUAACUUGGGUUAAACGUGAGUUAAACAUCUACCACAAUUAAAAAAAUUUAAAAUACCAAUUUUGUCCUUAACUUAAGGGCAAAUAAGAAAUGUUGGUGACGGUACAGAGGUAUAUUAGAAAAGACCAAAAGUCAAAAUAUUUUUUGUGCCCCUGACUUGAAGGACAAAUAAGAAAGUCAGUGAUGGUGGAAGGAUAUAUUUGAAAGGGCAAAAUAGUAAUUUUACAGAGAUAACAGAGUUAAUUAACAGAUUUUAACUGUAUAUUAGAAAUAAGUUGAAACGUAGAAAAGAUAUUUUCAAUAUUACCCUUCUAAGAGAGGUAAAUCGAAAAGUCGAAAUCUUUUCAGAGGUAUAUAAGCAAUUGCCCUAUAAAACUAAAAUGUAGAUACAAUCUAUAUCUCAGUUGCUAUAAUUCAGCGCUUAUAAAUUUUUUUUAAAAAAUAAAAGAUACAGAGACACAUCAUUGGUGCGUCUUAAUACAUUUCGAAGCGAAUGGACGGCAAAAUUGCCUUGUGCAAAUGGAAAAAAAAAAAAAAAAUUCUGCGAACUAAACUACUAGGAAGAACCUAGCAAGAGGCGCGCCUGUUAUCGUGGAAACCACACCCCACCAGGCGUCUCCGGGCUCCUGCGCUGCGGCGACGUCGGCUGCAGCGGGGAGCGGCACAGCGGGCACGUGGCGCGGCCCGUCUCGGCCCACCGAUCGAUGCACGCCGCGUGGAACGCGUGGUCGCAGUUCCCCAGCUCCCUCACCCUGUGCUCCCCCGCAAACUCCUCCAAGCAAACCACGCAAACGGCAUUUUCCUCCUCCUCCUCCUCCUCCUCCGCCGCCGCAGCGGUGAGCUGUUUGAGCUGCUGCUGCUGCUUCUUUGAGAAGAUUUCGAAGUAGUGCACGACGCGGAGGGUCUCCGUAACGGCGGCGGAAGGAGAAGCGGUGGUCGCGGGGGAAGGAGGAUGCGGCAGCGGCAGCAGCAGCGGCAGCGGCAGGUCGGCGGCGGUGGUGGUCGGCGAUGUUGCUUGGAGGUAGAGGGCGUAGUCGUCCCAGGGAGGGAGGAGCGUUGCAUGGGGGUAGGGCUUGAGGCCGAGGACGUGGAGGAGGUACGAGAAUGAGAAGCUGAAGCAGUCGAGGAGGAGGAGGAACAACACCAGGGGCUUCGGGAGCAUCAUCACGUAGCUGGAGCAGGGGAGAAACCCCAUGGAAUGGAAUGGAAUGGAAUUAAUUAAACGCAAUUUGCUUAAUUGGAACCGUGACUGUGAGUUCUACACUACUACUUAUAUAUAUAUAUAGUAGGAGCUUGGAAAAGUUAUUUUGUUAUUACUUUUUUUCUUUUUUUCUCCUAGGUAGGUAAAAAUAAAAUUGCAUAUAAGGAGACCCCCUGUAUUAUGCGCAGUUCUGAAAUGGCCCCUCCAUAAUAAUAUUUUGAGUUUAAUCAAUCAACUUAUAAAUUUUACUAUCAAUAAUAGUUUAGGCAUCUACUUCAUUACGAUCUAUAUAGGUGAGGGGGUUGUACAUUUUUAAAUACGUGUGUGUGUGUUACCGUGUCACAAGAAUGUUCUAUUGCUGGAGGGUCAAGCAAGUCAUUGGAAAGACACGGCCGACCUGCUACAGCUUUCCUACGCUUUGUACCAGAAAUAGCUGCAAUUCUCCUACUAGUUAAUUUGUUGCCCCAACCAACGUGAACACGCACAGAGCAACAUAAAAAAUAAUAAUAAUAAGAGUCUGGCUAUGGUGCUUGUAAAAUUAUCAAGUAUUUGGUGCUUGUAAAUUUUUUAUCGUUAGAUCUACGCCUUUGAUCAUUUUCACCCGUUAGAUUAUACUAUUCAACCAACCACCCACUCAACCAUAGGGGGCCCACAUCAUCUUAACCGCACAUUCCUUAAUCCAAGGGCUAAAAACUUACAAGUACCAAUGACUUAUAUUUUUAAAAACAUAGAAGCUCAAUUCAUAAUAAUAAUAAUAAUAAUAAUAAUAAUAAUAAUAAUAUCAGGAGCUCCUCAUUCAAGUUUUUUUUUUUUUUUUUUUUUUUUUUUGAGAGAGAUAGAUAGUACGCUAUCCGUUUCGUUUAUUUCAUUUAGAAAUAAACUUAGCUAGAAAUGUAAAUUAACUAGGAUUCAAACUUGGAUCUCGGAUACCAACCACCAAGCCCUUUACCACCACUUGCUCUAGAAACGGCGGGUCUCAUUCAAGUUUAUUGAUUCCGCUUUAAGUGGUCGUCUAAUAUGAUGCAAAAAUUUGAAGAAAUUUUUUUUAGAUUAGAGUAAACCUCUAAAAUUUGAACGUAGAGUGAAUUAUACGGCUCACUUAGUUAUUUUAAUGGAAACUCGGUGAGAACACAUCCCGUGUAACAUUGUACUGAUGGGUUCCAUUUCUACGCAUAUAGCCUCUGUGGUUUUAUUUUAUUCAGCCACUUAUUUUUAAACUACUCGUUUGAUAGAUAAAUAAUAUUAAAAAAUUAUAAAAUUUUAUUUUUAAAUACUUUUAGUAAGAUAGAUCAAGUCAAAUAAAGUUGAUCGUCGAUUUAGAAGUCGCAUCAUCGAAAACAACUUGAUCGCACGGUAGCUUCCGUAAUAUAGCAGCCGGAUGCUAGAACACACUUACAUUAAUCAUGAUAUGUACUGUUGAAAGUAUUUAAAUAUUAAAUUUAUUAAUUUGUCAACAUCAUUAAUUUACUUAAUAAAUAAAAGGCUUUAAAAUUAAAAAUUUUAAUAGCUGAUGUGAUAGGUUUGUAAAUUUACCUAUGCAAAAUAAUUCAAAUUAAGUAAAAUUUUGCUAACAAAUUCUUUUCGCUAUAUAAAAUAAAAUCAAUACCUUGUUUUGAAUUUAGUGUUGUAUAUCAUCAUUGUUUAUAAAAUUUUUAUUUUCCAUUGUUCAUUUUAAGACUAUUUAUUGUUUAUUAAAUAAUUCUGAAAAUUUACAAGAUUUAAACUCCACAUGCUUUUAAUAAUGUAAGUCAUGCCUAAGGAAGUUAACCAUCUAUCAUCGGAAAUGAAGUAAAAAUAUCAAAACCUCAAUACUUCCAAAGUAUUGCAAUUGGACUCCAUAUAAUAAUUAGUAAUUGAUUUAUUAUCAUGAGUUCAGCUACUAUAUUAUCGAUAGUACCAAGCGUUUGGUAUUAUCGAGUUUUCCACCGUUAGAUCUAUUCCUUUGAUUAUUUUCAUUCGUUAAAUCAUACUAUUCAACCAACAACAUACUUAAUCUUAAGGGACCACUAUCAUUCUAACCACACAUCCCUUCAUUUAAGGCCGAAAACCUACCUUGGCUCAACUAAGAGUCGUCAUACACUUUCGGCUGGUGAUUGGCUCUGUCAAGAUUCGAAUGACAAGAUGACAGACUAUGGCAGGAUAGACAAGUAUUACAUCGUCCGAUGAUCUUAGACUGUGUGCUUGACAGGGCUGACAAGAACGUCAGUGUUUAUUAUUAUAAUUUUCAAACAUGACAUUCAAUUCAAUAAAACAUCAAUUUCGAAAUGCUGAUUUACUCCUAAGAGUAUACCUUUUAUGAGGUGAUCUAUAACGUUGCACUUGCAUUACAUCCUCAUGCAUGAUUCAGAACUUAACUGUGAGAGGUUAUUUCAUGCAAUUUUAAUAAACCACGUUCCAUAAAAUUGUGUUCCUUCUAAAGUUACCUAUCUCGCUUUAUAAAGUACUCAUGCCCAUAUAUAUAUAUAUAUAUAUAUAUAUAUAGCAAGGCUGCUGUGCUCUCAGGAGCACGGAGGCCUCCGUGCUCCUGAGCCGUUUUCGAUGAUGGAAUUUUCGAAUCGACGAUCGGCUCCGUUAGACUUGAUCUAGCGCAUUUGAAGUUUCUAGAAAAUAAUUUUUGCGAUUUUUCGAUAUCAUUUACCUAGCAAUCGAAAGGAUUCAAAAUCAAUAAUUUUUAACGGCUGAAAAUAAAAAUCCUAUAAAAAGUGGUGAUAUAGCAUUAAAAUUUUCGAUCAGAAAUAUAGAUCUUGUUGUAGAUAGAAUAAAGAAUUUUCUACCAAAAUUUCAUCUGAUUUGAAUACUUCUACACCGUUAAAUUUGAAAACGGCAUAUAUCAAUCAUUAAAAAUUAUGGAUUUUGAAUCCUUUCGAUCACUAGGUAAAUGAUAUCGAAAAAUCGCAAAAAUUAUUUUCUAGAAACUUCAAAUGCGCUAGAUCAAGUCUAACGGAGCCGAUCGUCGAUUCGAAAAUUCCAUCAUCGAAAACGGCUCAGGAGCACGGAGGCCUCUGUGCUCCUGAGAGCACAGCAGCCAUGCUCUAUAUAUAUAUAUAUAUAUAUAUAUAUGUUUUGCUCCAUCAGAUUUAAUUUUCAUAUAUAAUAUUUAAUUGACUAAAUUUUUGUGCCAUACCAUACACAUACCAUACACUAUUCCAACCAAUAAAGCUACAACUACACGACUACAAUUUGAGUGGUUAUUGACUCGCUUAUACCACUAACUCCACACUAAUUAGACUAAGUAAAGAAAUAAAUUAAACUAAGUAAGAGACAAAGCAGUUAAGCUAAGUACAGAAAUAUAAGCAAUUGCUUUGAGUAGGGAGUUAAUAAAUUAAGCAGUUACAUUUUAUCUAUCUCUUUUUAACUACCAUAUCAAAAAGCAACCCUAAUGCACAACAAAUUAGGUAAGAAAUAAGUAUUAGUUGAGAACAAGGAUUUGGGGAAUUCGACAGCGUCAGAGGUCGCGACAGAUAGAGAUGGAAUAGUACGAAUUCACUACAAAGAGGGUCUCAAAUUGCAAUCAUAACUCACUAAUGUUUGGAAGAGAGAAUUAAUAGUCGCUAUUUUGGUCCUCCGAAUCCAGAACAAGAUUGAAUAGAACAAAAAUAAGGAAAUGGUAUUGGUUAAGAGUUAGGAUUUCGCGAUUCAGUUAAGAAGAUUGUUAUCAAGAAAGAUGAAAGCUCGAAUGGUAAGUGACUGAAAGUUGUUUCUUGAAAAGCAAUUCCCAAAAAACCAACAAUGCAUUGCAAACAAAAAUAACAGAGAAACAAAAGAAUACCUUGAUUCCCCUUAACUUCACAUUUUACAGGAAUUAUUAUUAUAUUUAAGAUCAUAAAUUGAACUGUAACUAAAGAUGCCAGCAUAAUGCUCUAACAUCAUCAAAACCUCAACGGAAAACAGAAACUGGGUAGAAACUAGUCGAGUAAGCAAGCAAAGCAUGAUAUUAUGACAUGCAUGCAAACAGCAGCAACACAUAAAGAGGAAAAUUGCUGAGCUUCAGAUAUCAGAAUCUUUUUACAUAACUAUAAAAAAUGCAUUUUGCUACCUCUUCAGAACAAAUAACUUGCGAUAACUUCCCAAGCCUAAUCAAUGUCUAUCUCCCAUAAAGAUUAAUCCAUGCUUAUAUUUGCCCAAAUAUCGCAUGCACCCAGCCAUUGUAUGAACAAGUGAUGUUCUUAUGCCCUUAUUCCGAUUUCUAUCUUCUUCGACUCUUUUUUCUCUCUUAGGUUAUUUUUAUUUCUUGAACUAGUUUAAUCUCGAAACGCGAACAUACAUCAUAGUCAUAGGAGAGUUUAGAAUACAUCUACAUGAAUAGCUUUUCAAAUGGCCCCUUUGAAUGACUACACUUCUUUUCCUCUUUCAACGAGUAACAUCAUUUCCUACAAAUUUCUAUUUUCCAAACUCAAGAAGAAGAGAAAUUUUCCUUUGAUCCGAAAAUUCAUUCCUUUGAGUUAAAGAAGAGGAAAAGAAAGAUAGCAGGAAAGGACUAUGCGGAUAGUAAGCAAGCAGAUUUAAUGAAGAAAGACUCGACAUUGCUGCAAAAGAAAAUAUAUAUAGAAUUCUACAUGCUAUUGACAUUACUAAUUAGGUGACAAACAUAUAGAUAUGAGUGAAACUUGUCGCUGACCCAUGUACACGCUAUAAGACGAGAGAUAUCCUCCUGUUAUACCGAAGAAGUAUGUAUAUGCUAUAAGUAGAGCAGCAAAAAGCAAAUCGCUCUAUUUAUUUUUACAGCGUACGAGGUAUAAAGCAAGAGAGCGAUGGCGGGAAUACGGUUUUUCUUUCCAUGUGUAUACGUAUAAUUUGGUCUCCUUUUUAACCUUUGUCGGUGCCUUAAUGACGACAGAGUGGAUAAUUCAUAAACAGCCGCAAAUUCUGUUACUGCAGAACAUGUCAUACACACAGUAUCAAGCAAUUCCAAGCUCUCUCCAAUGACUUAAAUCAAAUCGAUGACAAUUAAAAUCAACAGGCAAAUCCACAAACUAAGCAGGUAGACAGAUUACUAGUACCUGAUUCAAGAAGUAUGCAUGCUUCCCUGCAGUUUAGAACGUCUACUGGGCACAACAGAAGCCCUACAGCAACUUAUAUACGUAGUUAAAGCAACCGAACUUCUACUUUGGUAAAAAAGCAUGAUCCUAUUGCAUUUCAAGAACAAGUAGGGACAAUUCUGCACCAAGAUGGGCCGUAAACAAUCCGAUUUACAAAGCAUACAUUCAUUGACUCCAAAGCGAAGAAUCGUAAGAAGUGCGCUCCAAUUCUACUACUAUUCAAUUCAAUAACAAUUCACACUCAGACGAUUUAACACCUCAUCCAAAUAGCAAUCUCAUCUUAGCAGUACGAACACAAUAGUUAAGUGUCCUAAGCAUAAAGAUGUAAUAUUUGGAAGGAAUGAAAUACCUUGUGGACGGAGAUGUGGUUGUCGUUGUUGUCGUCGUCGUUGGUGGUCAGACCCUGAGCAUCUGGACUUUGUUGGCGAAGGCGAUGGCGAUCCAGUCGGGGUGGGCGGCGGACCACUGGAGCUGGUUGAUCUCGGCGCCGGCGGUGUAGAGCAUGGCGGGGUCGAUGGCGNGUCGUCGUCGUUGGUGGUCAGACCCUGAGCAUCUGGACUUUGUUGGCGAAGGCGAUGGCGAUCCAGUCGGGGUGGGCGGCGGACCAGUGGCCGUCGUCGGCGGCGGAGCAGAGGGAGCGGGGGGCGGCGGGGGACCAGGCGACGGCGUUGACGGGGGCGGCGUGGCGGUGGAGGUCGGCGACGGGGACGGCGGGGGAGCGGAUGUCGAGGACGACGACGCGGGCGCUGUCCAUGAGGACGGCGGCCAUGUAGCGGCGGUCGACCUUGUUCCAGGCGAGGCGGAGGAGCGGGGUGUCGGGGCGGGGGCUCUCGUAGAUGAUGGUGGAGUGCUCCUUGUCGCGGAGGUCGAAGACGCGGACGGAGCCGUCGGCGGAGACGGAGGCGAACACGGCGGCCUCGCCCCAGGCGAUGUCGUACACCUCCUUGUCGUGGGCGAUGAGCUGCGUCUCCACGGCGCCGCGCUCCACGUCCCACACCGUGCACGUCGUGUCGAUGGAGCAGGUGCCCACGCGCCGGGGCUCGGCCUCGUUCCAGUCGAAGGACGUGAGCGGCGCGCAGAAGUCGCUCGACUUGCUGUUGCUGAGGACGCACCGGAGCUCCACGGCGGGGGAUAGCGACGGCGACGACGCGGGGUCGGCGGGGAGGCGCCAGAGGCGGAGGAAGUCGGAGGAGGAGGCGAGGAGGGGUUGGGAGGGGCUGGGGUGGAAGAGGAGCUUCGUCGGCGGGUAGGGGUGCUCGAAGGAGAGGCCGGGGUCGGCGCGGAACGAGAGCGAGUCCUCGUCGAAGGAGACGAUGUCGACGCGGUUGGAGUAGUCCUCGACGAAGGAUCCCAGGGCGAGGCGAGGCGAGGACGACGACGAAGCAGCAGCAGCAGCGGAGGAGGAGGAGGAGGACGAGGGAGCGAAGGCCAUGGCGUAGACGGGGUGGGGGGACUCGAAGGUGUAGACGAAGGGGUUGGUGGAGAGAGGGGACUCCUGGGUCGAGCUCUGCUGCUCCAUGGCUCCCACGACGACGAUGGGAGGAGGAGGAGGAGGAGGAGGAGGAGGAAUCAAGCGAGGACGACGAGCAAAUUAAGAAUAAGAGCAAGGGGGGAUUUUUUCUGCAAAAGCAACGCAUCCGACGGUCAACGAGCCGGCUUGGUCAACCGGCACGUGCCACGGGGGAGUGGCGCCCACCAUGGGUUUGCUUAAAUCUCGGCCGUUCAUCUGAUAGGGCAUUUACCUACGGAUUGCGAGUUCGACUCAAUAUUUGGCUCACUCAAGCUCGACUCGAAAUUAAAUGAGCCGAGCUUGAACAAAAAAAAAGGCUCGAAAUUUAUUUUAAGUCGAGCUUGAGUAUUACUCGACUCGUUCGAAUUAGGCUCGAAAAGCUCGAAUAUAUAUAUAUAUAUAUAUAUAUAUAUAUACACUAUGUUAUCGAAAGUAUAGAAGAUCUGGUGCUUUCGAUUUUUUGAUUUUUAAAUCAACUAAUUAUUUUUUUGAAUUAAUACUAUUAUUAUCUUGUAGGGACCACCCAAUCUUAUGGGAUAUUAUUUAAUCCUAGGGAGGAUCGCAAUCAUCCCAAUCAUACAAUUCUUAAUCAAAGGGUCAAAAAUUCCAAAACAUCAAAUCCUCUAUAUUUAAUAGCAUAUGUAGUUCUCCACACGUAUAUAUAUAUUAUAUACUAUACUAUAUUAUAUAUAUAUAUAUAUAUAGAUAUAUAUAUUAUAUAUAUAUAUAUAUAUAUAAAAAUAUAUAAUAUAUAAUUAUGUUUAAUUAUUAUAGGUGAUGUGAAAUAUUCUGAAUUUAGUUUAAAAUUGGACAAUAUUGUUGGCCAUAAAACAAACCAUAGAACAAUAAAAGAGCAAAAUUUUACUAAAUUUAUGUAUUUUCCUUUCUUUUUUCUUUCACAUAGUUACAUAUGAUUGGUUAUGUUUAAUCAAAUUAUCUAAUAAUUUAAUUAUUAUGUUGACUGAAAAUGAAAAUUAAAUAAUGUGGAGAUUGUAAGGCGGAAAAAAAAGACAUGUGAGGCUGAAAGAUUAGAUAUUCACUCAUUAAUUUUUUUAUGAUAUAUAACCAAUAUUUUAUGAAAAUAUUUUAUACCUUUGAACUAUUAGCCAUAUUUUGAUCAAAUUAUAGAUAAUCAUUUUAUACAAUUAAAACUAUGAUCGGUAUGAUGUUGAGAUUUCACGCGGCUCGAGGGCUCGAGCUCCUCCGACUCGAAAUUAGUCAUCGCUCGAGCUCGGCUUGAAUUAAAUUUAAUCCCAUUUGAGUUUAUAAUUAAACUGAAUUAAUUUCAAAAGUCGAUAUUUGAGCCUAAGAUAAGCUCGCUGCGAGCUCGGCUCGUUUCCACCCACUACCUCGACCGACCUCCCUCGGAGUUUUAUACGGGGGGGGGGGAGGGGGGAGAGGGGGCAAUUACACUUCAACCUUCUAAGAUUUUAAAAUUGAAAAAAUUUUAAAUACCACAUAUGUGAUUUCAAUUUUUUUUCACUUUAAUAUCUUAUAGUUUAAAAUAUAUCACUUUAGAAUCAUGUGGUUUCGAUUUUCUCUUUUCAUUAUCCUCCAAAUUAUUUUUUUCGUUAAAUUAGCGACAAAGUUAAAAUCAUAUUGUACUAAAAUAAAAUUUUGGUAAACUAUAGGGUACUAAAAUAAAUAUUCGAUAAAUUAUAGGUGAGGUAUAUGAAGUUUUUUAUAUGUAUGAUUUAACAGAGAGUUAAAGAAAGUGGCGACAAAAAUAAAAGAAAAAAAUCAAACCAUAAAAUAUGAAAAUUAUACACUUUAAACCACAUAAUACUAAAGUGAGAAAAUAUAAAACUACAGGAAUGAUAUUUAAAGUUCAACAUUUAAAAUAUUAUGAAGACGUCUCAAUACAUAUAAAUCUAUUACCAAUGCUUAAGCCUUAAAAAUAAGACAUCUAGGUUUUUUUAUUUGAAAACCAUACUUCAAAAUGUUCUGCUUUUUAAUUUUAGUAUUAUUUACUUAAAAAUAAAUGCAACGUUAUAUUUGUGUUUUAACUAGUAUAAUUAUACUAUAUAUAUAAAUGAGUGAAAGACAAGAUAAGUUUUGAUUUCAUAAAAAAAAAUCCGUCCUCAAAAUAAUGUAUUUUGUUGAGUACGGGCUUUUGUCGGUAAAGAGGAAUCACAAAUGAUUCAAGUAAAAUUUUUUGUAUGAAUUUUUGGAUCUCUCAUUAUUUAAUCUAAGUAAGAAUUAUAGAUUUAAUUGUACUAAUUUCAAAAGUCGAGCUAGAUAUUAUAAUAAAUUAAAAUUUGAGGAUUAAAAUUAAUGGUUAUAAUAUCCAACUACUAUAACUAAAUGCAAUAAAACUACAUCUAAUUGUCAAAAAAUUAAAAAAAAAAAAUUACAAGAAGUCAAAUGACUAAAAUGUAGUUGAUCUUUAAUUUGAGAGCACAUGGGUAGACCAUUUCUGGGGUUCUACUUAAAAAAAGAUUGUGGCAUGAUCACUCUCUUUCAAAGACCUGGUAUUUUGCACAAGCAAAAUAAAUAAUUUUUUUUAGAAAAAAUCAUUCAUGGUGAAUGAAAAAAAUAAGGACAAAUUUUACUUUGUCUCAUUGGUUUAGUUUAUUUUAUUAUUUUAUUAUUUUAUGGUUUAUAUUUAAUUAUUCUGUGUUUAGCUUUUUUUUUGUCAUCUUGAUAUUCAAAAAAUUAUGCUUAAUUAUUUUGUAGUUAUAAAGAAAUUGUACUUUGCUAUUUUAUUAGUAAUUGAUUUUUGAAUAAAAAUAUACACAAAAUUAUAAAUAGUUAAGUACAACUUUUUGAAUCAUAUAAUGAUAAGUACAAUAAGCUAAAUCAUUUUGGGUGCAAAUUGAAAUUUACCAAAAAUAUAUAUAUAUUUAACUCUUUAUUCCUUUUCUUUCUUUUUUUGUUGAUUUCUUUUCUUUUCAUUUUAUGGGUGUAGAACUUUUUUUAUUGAAAUAAUUAUCUAUAUACCUCUCAAAACUUGGAAAAUAUCUUAUUUACCUAUAAUUUUUUUUUUCUUUUCAAUAUACUUCUCAUAUGUUUCUCUGUUAUUCCAAAAUACUCAUGCGGUACUACUUGUUAAGUUAACUUGGUUAAACAUAAGUUAAAUAUCAACAAGAGUUAAAAAUAAAAAAUAAAAUGUCUCUUUUGCUCUUAACUUAAGAGCAAAUAAGAAAUAUUAGUGAUGCUAAAAGAAUAUAUUUGAAAAAAUAAAAAAUAAAAAAAAAUUUUGUGUCCCUAACUUAAGAAGAAAUAAGAAAAAAAUGUGACGGUGGAAGGGUAUAUUCGAAAAGGUAAAAUAGUAAUUUUAUAUAGAUAACGAAAUUUAACUCUAAAAAUAUAUUUAAAAUAUAUUAAAUCGUAAAAAAAAUAUUUUUAAUAUUAAUUUUCUAAAAAAAUAAAUUAAAAAGUCGAAAAUUUUUCAAUUGAACGGACAACGAGCACGGAAGGUAAGUUCACAAAUGGCACAGACUCUUACGGCGAUAGUUUGUGACUUUGACAAAACAAAUAGACAAUAGACCCUUUAUAGUUUAGAAGGUACUUGGCUUUUAUGUUAGUUAAUUCGCGAAUUAUUGACGAAUUAUCCAUGAUUUUUUGAAAAAAUGAAUUAAAUGGUCGAAUUCAUAUUUUUUGAAAAAUUCGAAAAAAAACAUGAUUUUUUGAUAAAAAAUACUUGUUCGCGUAUUAUACGCAUAAGCUGAAUUAUUCAGCCUAAAAAACGCGUUGCGCCCGCACGCGCUCCAGCACGCGCUGAUGGGCCGGCUGGCCCAAAACAGAAAAAUACAGAAAAAAAAAAAAAAAAAAAAAAAAAAAAUCUUUCUGAAUUUUUUACUUAAUUAGCUUAAUUUUGUAGCUAUUUAUUCUUAUAUUCUUAAGAAAUAUGAAUAUUUAUGCUAAUAGCAUAAAUCUUGAGAGAAAAAAAAUUUAAUUUAAUAGCCGAAUUUUUUAUCCCAAAUUUUUAAUUGGCGAACGUAUAUUAUCCGUAUAAAUCACGUAUCCGAAUAAUUGAUGAAUCCAUUUUUUAGCCAUAUUUUUCAACGAAUUUAAAAUUAGAAGACGAAUUUUAUUCGAAUUAUACCCGUACCGAAUUUUUGCCGAAUCUGAAUUAACUAACUAUACUUGGCUCCAAGUGCGGCUAGGAUGCUUAUGGAAAUACGGAGGGCUCCGUGCUUUCACUUUGUUUUCGAUAUUCGGACUUUCGAAUUGACGAUCGGCUCCAUUAGACUUGAUCUAGAGUAUUUGAAGUAUCUGGAAAAUAAAUUUUGCGAUUUUUCGAUAUCAUUUGCCUAGUAAUCGAAGUGGCUCAAAAUCAACGGCUGAAAAUAAAAAUCUUACAAAAUAUGAUGAUAUGACAAUAAAAUUUUAGAUCAAAGUUAUUGAUCUUGUUUUAUAUAGUAUAAAGAAUUUUCUAUCAAAAUUUCAUGUGAUUUAGAUAUUUCUACACCGUUAAACUUACAACCGGCUCACCACGGCCGUUAAAAUUAUUGAUUUUGAGCAACUUCGAUCACUAGUCAAAUGAUAUCAAAAAUCACAAAAUUUAUUUUCUAGGUACUUCAAAUAUUCUAGAUCAACUCUAAGGGAGCCGAUCGUCGAUUCGAAAAUCCGAACAUCGAAAAUAAUUUGGAAGCUUCUCUCAGCAUACCAGCCCACUCCUUGGCUCCUCUAAAAGGCAUGAUUUUUUUUUUUCUUUUUUUUGUAACUCUUUUGAAUCCAUUCAAUCUCGCUCGGUUGUGCCAGUAAAGCCAAUAAAUCGAAGGAAAAAAAUGCUGAUGCACAAGCUAUGACUAUGAGAGACCGACCGUAAGUUUACAUACGAUGCAAACUCGCAACUUUAUUAUCUAUUUAGAAAAAAUUAAAAGGAUGUGUUUGGUUUCUCAAAAAUACAUAAAAAUUUAUUUUUUUUAAAAAAAAUAAGAUUUUUUUUUGAGUUUUUAAGAUAUAGAAUUGGAAAAAUAAAAUUACAACUUUUGUAUAAAAUCUGAAGUUUUUAGAAAAAAUAACAUUUUUCAAAAAAUGUAAACAGAUAAAAAAAAAAAUAUUAUUUCAACCAAAAUUUAUUUUCUAGGAUAGUUUGCAAUGAAACAAACACUUCCCUAGGAGAAAAGCCGAUGUAAAAUCGAAUGAUCAUGUGACGUCAACACUGUUAACACUUCUGUCAAACCUGCUGUCCAUAUAGCAAGUAGUAAAGGAUUUGAUGAUUGAUAUCCGUGGUCCCAAAUUUGAAUCCUAGUUGAUUUAUAUUUCUAGCUAAUUUUAUUUUUAAAUGAAAUAAACGAAACGGAUAGCGUGCUACCUAUCUCUCUGAAAAAAAAAAAAAAACACUUCUAUCAAAAAUUUUAAGGGCUUUCUUUAUGUUUAGCAUCCUCAAAAAAUAUAUAUAUAUAUAUAAAUAGUCCUAGUAAAUUUAUAUUUAUAUAUAUAUAUAGUUCUCUCUUUGCCACGUGAGUGUCACGUUGACAAUUUUAAGUUGAACGUAAUGAAUCAAUCACCGUAUUCAUAUUCACACUUUAAUCUUUUUUUUUAACUUAAGAAUAAUAAAAAAUAUAAAAAGAAUGUGGCGAUUAAAUCAUUGUGUUCAAUUUAAUAACACCAUUAGACACUUACAUGGCAAUGAAAUGACUAUUUAUAUAAAUAUAAAUUUGUUAGGAUAAUACGUAAAAAAAAAAAAAAGAAAAAGUUUUGCGGGCACUAAAUUAAAAAAAAAUCCAAAAUUUAAAUUAUUGGAUCUUAUUUAAUUUUCUUUCCUCUAUUUCUUAAAUACUUUAUCCUUUCCACUCUCCCCCCAUCCUCUCUCUCUCUCUCUCUUUCUCUCUCUCUCUCUCUCUCUCUCUCUACUCCCGCGGCCACAGCCAUGGCGACCCCCCUCUCCCUCCCUCACCUCUCCUCCCCCUUCUCCACCAAAACCUCGCUCUCCUCCUUCCUCCCCCGCUUCUCCUCCCCCUCCCUCUCCUCCUCUUCUUCUCCUUCGUCCACGUCUCUCCGCAGAGGACGCUCUCCCACGGCCACUCCGAGGCCCCUCACCGUCAAAUCCAUGGCGCCUCCGAAGCCCGGGGGGAAACCCAAGAAGGGUAUCUCUCAAAUGUGUUUCCUUCGUUUUCCCUGAUAGCUGUUUCAUCCUUGCUCCUGUUCGUGCCCUCAAGGUGUUUGUUGUUUUGUCGCAGUGGUGGGAAUCGUAAAACUCGCUCUGGAGGCGGGUAAGGCGACUCCUGCGCCCCCAGUGGGGCCGGCGCUCGGGUCGAAGGGCGUGAACAUCAUGGCGUUUUGCAAGGAGUACAAUGCCAAGACCGCGGACAAGGCCGGAUACGUGAUUCCGGUGGAAAUCACAGUAUUUGAUGUGAGCUACCACUUGGUUAUGAGAAUUAAGGAAAUUUUGCUUUUGAUUUUCUCUCUAAGCAUCUUGUGUAAAGAUUCUAACUUUGGUAGCUUUUGUUUAAAGUUUCUUCUUUAUUGCAGUAGAUUUACUAAUCUACGUUGUCUAUGAACAGGAUAAGAGCUUUACCUUCAUUUUGAAGACUCCCCCUGCCUCAGUUUUGCUCCUUAAGGCUGCAGGUUUGUUUUUUUAAUGAAAAUAUGACGGAGCUGUAUAUGUUCUUCUUUAUAAUCUUUAAAAAUGUUCUGCAAAUACUUGUUUUUAUAAACCAUUGAUAUGCUAUUUGAAAUGCGUGUUAUCAACUUGUUUUAGGUUUAUUAUACAUGUUGUGUUCCUUACCGAAAGAUACUGCAUAUGCUCAUCGGAAAGUUACGCUCUUCUAUGAUUUAGCAUAUUAUUAACUAGAACAGGUUUAAUGCGUUCCCGUAUGUGUUAGCAUCUCUUUGUCAAUUCUUGCUUAACUUUGUUAGCGGAUUAUCGACAUUCCUCACAAUUUAAUGCUUCAGUGACUUCCAAUGUUUUAUGGAGAAGGAUCAAGAUAACAAAAGAUUAGUUUGGAUUAAGGAAUAAGCGCACCAAAGUUUGCAACCUGGACAGUACUAUUCAGAAAGAGAAGUAUAUAACGUUUGAUUUUCCGGUAAACCAGUUAUCAUCCUCUAUAAUUGAACGAAUUCAAUCCUUUGAGGAUGUGAAGUAAUGGAGAUCUAAGGAGGCAAAACUUUUUUUUUAAGUUGGUAGUAUGUGAUUUUUUUCUUCUUCUUCUGAUGUUUAGCUUGAUUUUAUGGCAGUCGAUCAUGGAUACAUAAUGCAUACAUUAGCAAUGCAUCUAAUUCAUAAUUUUUUUUCUAUUCAUUCUAGCAUCCUUUGUAUUGAAUCAUAUGCUGAACAAUGCCCUUUUAGGAAAUGAUAGAUAUCGUUAAAGGAAGUAGGAGACUAGUUUUUGCAGCAUAUUGGGGAUUCUGUUUUGAGCUUCAGCUUGAAUCCUCUGGAUGGAUUUAAAAGCCCGGGAGUCACUUUAAAAAGUAUAUUUAACCAACAAUUCAUCGGAAGCCCCAGUUUGCAAAACUUGCUUUCAUUUCAAAUUCCCGCCACAGCCAGGAAUUCUAACAUAUUGUUUUACAAACUUCUUGUCUCUACUUCGCAAUUAUCAUAUUCCAAAAUCUUGGAUAAAUUCUGAUUAAAUACGCUGUGAUACAUAUAAAUAUGAUUGUUACCCAAACUCUGCCAUAUAUUAGUGAGAGAUGCCAUGGAAGAUAUGGCGCGUUCUCUGAUUUCUUUUGCUGCUAAUUUCUUUUGCUGUUCGAGAUGCUUAAUCAGGUGCUGAGAAGGGUUCAAAAGAGCCGAAGCGAGAGAAGGUUGGGAAGGUAACAAUCGAGCAGCUGCGUGCGAUAGCAACGGAGAAGUUGCCGGAUUUGAACUGCAAGAGUAUCGAGUCGGCCAUGAGGAUCAUAGCAGGCACUGCAGCCAAUAUGGGCAUCGACGUCGAGCCGCCAGUUCUCGAGCCAAAGAAGAAAGCUAUUGUAUUAUAGCCUAUUCGCUGCCUUGUCAUUUCCUCAUCAAUUUUCCUAUAAUAGUGGAUGAAACAGUAGAUUGUGUAUUCGAAAGUUGCGCGGUGAAGCUGCUUCAUUGGUCUUCAGAUAUUUCAUGCUGCUUAUCAUUUAUAGAGUUGAUAAUCUAUCAGUAGCUUAUACAUGGCACAGCACUAUUGGGCUUGAUGUACAGGCUAUAUGAAGAGCCUCGGUUAGCGCUUGGUGUGGAGAUAUCAUAUAACGAAAGUUAUUCCCGCUAUUCUUUUGUAAUAAAAAGAAAAAUGUUUGCGAAAUGGGAUUGCGGGGGAUAACUGAGAACAGUUAUUGCAGGUCUUGCUUAGAAUAGCUGUACAUCUUAUUAUACAUAAGCUUCCAAGUUGAAGAUUCAGUUUGGUUCUGUACGGUUUGAUUUUUCAGAUUUUUUCUUUUUACUCCAUUUUGGUUCCUUUUUUUAAAAGAAUAACCAGUUUUUCUUCAAAAUCUGACCGGACCAAAAAGGCUCUCUAAAGCUGAUCAUGAUAUGAGACAAGGUUUUAAGUGUCCGUCGGCACGGGUCGUAUUCAUCAUGCCAACAAGAUACUGGCACGAUACAGAUUUUGUGCCGAUGGCACAUUUCAUAACUCUCUAUUCUUUAAAUUAAUAAAUAAUUUUUUUAAUAAAGUUCAAAAAAUAUGAUAAAAAUACAUAAUAAAUAGUUAGAAUAUUCUGUUGCUAAAGAAAAUAAAUAUUUCAUGUUAUUAUGUGUCGGCACAUAAAAAUUUUUUUGACCGACACGUAUCGGUACGGCUCGGCACACAUCGAGCUGUACUGUACCGGCAAAUUUUCGGCACGAUUUUGUGCCACGGCAUCUAAAUCUUUGAUAUGAGAGCAUGCGCAUCAUAGGCGAAAUUUGUUUUUAUCUAAUCUCUUUUUNUUAUUUUGUCAUAAUCAUAUUAAAAUUUAUAUAAAAAAUGUUAAGAUAUCCAAAAUUUCAAAUAAAGAAGCUUGGAAGUUGGAACAUCCUUUUCACAAUCACUCUUGAUAGUAUGUAAAGAAAGAGUUCUAUAUUUUAUUUUUGCCGGAAUUAGAAAAAUAAUAAGGACCAGCCACAUAACAUAACCAUCCAAACUAAUUACUCUUGUCCUAUUUUCUCAUCUCUCCAUGGAUUAAUUUCCAUGCUCCCCUCCAAAAAAAAAAAAAGAAAAAAGAAAAAAGAAAAAAAAAGAAAAAGAAAAAGAAAAAGAAAAAUCCUUUACCUAUUCAGUGGCAUCAUCAACCAAUCACAGCACGCCACAUCAGACAGGCAAAUUUGUAUACCGUUAUCCAUUUGCGUACCAGCGAUUGGUUGGGCCCUUCGGCGAUUCGCCCCAUCGGCCCAUCCUCGCGCCGCAUAAAAAUAAUAAUUUUUAAAUAAAUAAAUUAAUUAAUAAGAAAACUCACACGCAGAGCAUUUUCUAGCGCGCCAUGGCCUCCUCCUCCGCCGCCGCCGCCGCCGCAGCCACCUGCGCCCACCGCUCGCCGGCGUUGGCCGGCGCGAAGGCCCCCGCUCGCCGCCACGCCGCGCGACGCGUCCGCCUCCCGCCGCUUCCGCCGCCGCGCAGCGCCGCGUGCCCUGGACUCCUACAAACUGCCUCCUGCGGUGAGUGUGCCCUCCAGGUGUUCGAUUCUUUGUCCCAGAGAAAAUGUUGCUCGGAUCGUGAACUCGGAUUCGAAUACGGAUGCUACAUUUCAAAGCACUCAAUUUGUUUGCUUUUGGAGGAAUCUAGUUCCAAAGUGUUUGGAGUGUGCGCAUCGGGACGCCAUGGCUCAAAACCUUAUCUUUUCAAAAUUAGUCAACAAUUACAUCGAUUGAAUGAAUAUCGACACAUGGCACGAUACUAUGCCGUAUUGUGCCGGCAAGUGCUCAGUAUGAUCCCGUACCAUGACACUUAAAUCCUUGUGUAUUGCCUGUUUGUUUGCGAUUUGCCAAUAGAGCUUUUAUGUAAUUGCAAGUAGGGAAAUAACGUCUACCCUAAGUCUCAUCGCACCUCUCCCUUGCGCAAUUUAGGUCAUGGAAAUGCAAGAAAUGUCCUUGCAAAGGCAACAGGAGAAUCACCGGCUGAAGCUACGACUGAGUUUCCCGAAAUUGUGAAACCCGUGCAGGAAUUGGUCAGUUUUUUAGGUUUUGUUUUGAUUCGUAGGCAUAUCGACUAUAAUAACUCUUCUUUUUAGACAGUGGGACAAACUUGAAGAUAAGUAUGCCGUGGCUUCGCUAGCUGUUGCCAGUAUUAUCGGAUUGUGGACUGCCGCUGGAGUGAUUUCGGUACUAAAAAGUUUUUGAUCCAAUUAUCAGUAUGAUGAUGAUUGCAUCAGACAAGUGAUGCCGAAUCAAAUGGUUUGAUGCGGGGUUUCUUUGUUUCUGAUGAUCAGUAAUUUUAGAUUUCUUUUUUUCUCUUUUAUCUUUUUCCUUCUGGGAAGAACUUUAAAGAAGGGCUAACAUACGCAGGCAAUUGAUCGACUCCCUGUUGUCCCCGGCAUUCUUGAGCUUGUUGGAAUUGGUUACACAGGGGUGAGUUCUUACUUCCUGCAAAUAUGAUCUUCUUAUAUAUAAAUUAUUGUCACUAAUGACUGUGCAUUUUAAGUUUUUUUUUUUUGUUCCUAUUAUCAUCUAUAAUCUUGCGAAUAAUUCAGUAUCCUGCUGAAUGUGUACUACAUUUGUAACUUCAUGAAGACAAAUUAUUUUGCAUGAUGGAAACUAAAAUAUAUAAAUUUGGAGCCUAUACAUCUGCAUCUCAUUGACAAAAUGAAGUUAGAAAAGGCCGCCAUUGAGAGACAUACUCUAGAUAUCAACUUAAAAGUGGAAGCAGAAACAGAAGUCGCUCGUUGGAUUAUGCGCUUAUGUUAACUGCUAUUUGCUGUUGUCGCAGUGGUUUGCAUACCAAAACCUGAUCUUCACACCUGACAGGUAUACUCUUAGCCCUUUUCUUCUUUCUCUUUUUUUACUUCAGAUCCUUUAGUACUAAUACCAUAUGAAGACACCUCUAUGGCCACACCAUGAAAAGAAAUAUGUCCAUGAUUUUGCAGCUACCUGGCAUUCUGGUUUUAAAUGCCCUGUAUAGCUAUUUUGUAAAGGAAUAAUUUGCUACAGAAUCUUCUUUUUUUUUUUUGAGUUAUGGUCGCCAUAUCCUUAAGGAGGAUUUUCUAUAUGGCGGCAGCCUGUCGCAUUCUCUAAAUUGGAAAGCUGAUAUGAUCAACAAAGGAUAGAAGUAAACAGUUACUAUCUAAAAAUGAAUAAAUAUACGGUUCUUCUGUAGUAACUAUGUUGAAAUUUUCAUCAUCUGAAACUUUGGACAAAUUGUAAUUGUAAUCAUGAUUCUUAUGCUGAAUGGAUUACAGGGAAGCUUUGAUAGCAAAGAUAAAGGGCGUCUAUGAGAACAUAAUCGGGAGCAGCUAACGGAUGAGCAUCAAUAGAUUGGUGGCAUCAGAAACACUAAAUGCUGUCGAAUGAAUGCCAAUUCUUAUCCACUGGGAGAUCAUUGUGUGAGAGGGAAGGAAAAAAGUUGUAGUCUUUCAUGGUUUAUUCUGUUGUAUGGCAUAACCUUCUAAAACUAUACAAUCCGUUUAAUGAUUGUGCUAUGUGCUUAUUUUCCAUUUCAUAUUGUGUUUCAGUGGCUUGGAUCGGUGAAGUGAAUGCUGAUCUGUUUGUUAAUCUUUUCAUAUUGUCGACAAUGAAUAAGAAAAUAAGAAUUUCUAUCAAGAAUAACACUGCUUGUAUUUGUUGUAAUUGUUCCUUCAAUAGACAAAACUCUGGUGCCUUCCCCCAAUAGGGACAUUUCUCUGACUGAUUCUACCAUCCUAGAAUGUGGAUUUCGGAAAAAAGAAAAGAUGACUUUGAUUGCUUUUCCUGAUCCGAAAUCCUCUUCUUUUCGACACUAUUCUUCCAUAUUUUGAGCCAAGCUAGUCUCUCUAUCAGAAAAUUGGUUGAUCUAUGUCUUCAUGUGAAGACAGAGAUCUGAUUGCUCCCUUACAUACUGGAAGAAGUUCUGAAAACUCAAAAGCCUUAAUUCAAGAGAUGUAAGCAAAUUAAUCUCAAAUAUACCGUCGACAAUCUGAUAAGGUUGGCUACAUCUCUUCUAAAGUGGAAAUGCCACUAAUGAAACUUGCAGAUACUGUUUAAUUCGAAGCGCAAUGUACACAAAACAUUUAAUAGGAAUUAGGUCAAUGAAAAAUCAAGCUAUUUUUUGUGAGGUGGAGAAUGAGCCUAGUUCUUAGAUUAUAAAGAUAGAUAUGUCUGCAUGGUCAAUCAAAGCAAGCACACUUCUUUGACAUCUAUUAUUUAUAAAACAAUCUACAUGUGAAGAAAUAUGAUAACUAGUAAUAUACAUUAUAGAUUGUAAAAUCACAUUUAGGCAAUGAAGAUCAUGCUCUUUGCUGCAGCUACAGUAAACAGCAUUAAAAUCACAUUUAGGCAAUGAAGAUUAUGCUCUUUGCUGCAGCUACAGUAAACAGCAUUAGCAUACACAAUCAUGUGAGUUAGAUACUCAAAUUGUGGCAAGAAAAUUGCCACAGUGGCUACUUUGCAAAGCCAUUGAUGAACCACUCCUUUUGUGAGAAAAAAGCCGCAUGCUUAUGAAAAGGAGUGUAUGUACUAUGUCUUAUUAAGUAGAGCAUAUGGAAAUUGUUAAAAAUUUAGAACCAUUUUAAUAUGAUGUUAAUGAGCUUCACCUAUAAUGCCAGUCUAUUAGUUUACUUUCAAAGCUAUCCAUAAACUCACCGUUCCUAGCGCAAGUGGUAAGGAUUUGGUGAUUGGUACCCGAGGUCCCAAAUUCAAAUUCUAGUUGAUUCAUAUUUCCAAUUAAGUUUAUUUAUAAAUAAAACAAAUGAAGUAGAUACCAUACAACCUAUCUCUAAAAAAAAAAAAAAAAAAAAAACUGCCCAUAAAACAAAGAACACUAAAACAACACGGUAAAUUAUAGCAAAAAAAAGCUUUUUAUGAUAUAAAACCUCCUUUUUGACACCUAUAAUGUACAUACGCUAUAGUGUUUCAUUCAACUUUAGUUAGUGUAGGAGUUUUUUUAUUAAAUCAAAUAUUAUGUGGUAUAAUUGGUGAUUGAUUGAAUUAUUUGAUGUAUGAUUGAUCUGCGACAUGUAGGGACAUGAUAUAUCCCAACUGUUUCAAUUCUGACCACCACUACAACUUAAAUCAUGCAGUUGCUUACCUUCCUUACAGCCUAUUUAAAUUUUUAUUUUUUAAUUUAAAUAUUUACAACACUAAGAAAGUUCUGCGAGAAGCUUACUUUUCGUUACUUCUGUGAAAUUAUUGACGUUUAAGUUGCUAGACAACCAUGUCUCAUUAAGUGACCUGAUUAAAUAGGUAUAGAUUUUAUUUUAUUUUAUUUUUUUUGCCAGAUUAAAAUUCCAAUGCUUCUGCUGCAUCAUGAAGCAGAAGUGAGAUCUCGAGUGAGAGGUCCCAAUUUGCUUCUUCUAAUUCUAUAAAGAAAGAAGUUAGCGGUGUCAUCUGUAAUAUUUCUCGUCGUAACACAAGUCAAAUAGCACUCUCGUCGAACAAUACUAAACAGAUUGCUAAUUUAGUUCUAAAUUAAUUUCGCGUUUGAGAGAACACAUUUCCCUUCAUACGUUCAAAAAUGACCGAAGUGAACGGUAUUCAGAAGCUUUUGCAUUAACGCCACAAAUUCAUGAUAGCAACAACGUCACGUGCCAAGGUGGCCUCGCGAGUCUCUUCUCAGCCACGAGUUCCCCCCGCCACGUCACCCCCCGCGCGGGUCCCACCUCGACAACGGGGCGGGUUUGUGGGUGCGCUUUCGCACGCCCGCUUCGCGCCUCCACAGCCUCAAAUUCCAAAAAGCCGCUUCUGUGGCUAAGAAAAGCGCUUCCCAAAAAGCGCGAGAGCCCCAGAGCCCACCACUAUCCUUCCGCCACGUGUCACCCCCUCCCCACCUCCCUGGCCCCUUCCCAGCCCCAAGUUCGCAGGGGUCCUGGGGACCCUCCCCACUGUUUCCCCCCCUCGUAGUAUUUAUGACCCCGAAUUUGAUUCGCGACACUUUCCCUUCGCGGCAAGAACACGAGGCUGAGCAAACUCGUGGCUGUGAUCGCUCGAGCUUCUCCAAGCAAGAGAGAGAGAGAGAGAGAGAGAGAGAGUUGAGGUGGAGAGUACGCGAGGUGCUCUAGGGUUUAGGUUUUGCCGAAUCAGUUAGGCCACCGUCUCCUCCCUACAUCCAUAUGAAUACCCCCUGCGAAACCCUAGCCAUCGACGUUCCUCGGCUCUUCGACGCCGAGUGAGAAGAGCUCGCUCCCGAAGGUGCGCUUUUUUGCCUCGGUUCAAUUCCCGCUCGUUCUUGCUACUGUUGAACUGUGCUAUUGUGCUGUGCGGCGCUCUAUGCAGUGCGUGCGAGAAGAGAAAUGAGGUGUUGUUGUCGCGUUAUCGAACGAUCGGUCGUGGAUAAGAACGCGGCGGCUGCGCUCUCUUUCGAUGAUUUCGAGUUAAAAGAAGUUGAAUUUGAGAGGGGACUUAUUUCCUAACUUGAUGAAUCGCGGCGAUGGAGACGUGCUCUGCCGGGGAGGACAUAACCGCAAAGGUCUUCUUUGUAACCAUGGUUAUUAGUGUGUGAUUUGGUUUGUUUUGAUGUUUUUAUUUGGUUUUUGUUGAUAGAGGAGGAAGCCGUACACGAUUACGAAGCAGCGGGAGAAGUGGACAGAGGAGGAGCACAACAAGUUUCUGAAAGCCCUGAAACUUUAUGGCAGGGCGUGGCAGCGCAUACAAGGUAAAUUUCGAAAAGAAUUUCAUGUAUCAUAUAAUAAACUCUGUUUGUGCUUCGCAAGUUCUUUUUUUUGCUACAAGAAUUGAAGGCAUCAUGUUAGAACUUGUAGAUUGUAAAGAGGAGGAUCAGAUAAACUGACGAGAGUACUUCGCUACAGGAGAGUUAAAAUAUGUGAUUCAUUCCUAAUCUUUUUUUUCGCAUUAUUUUAUCGAUAACAACUGGCAUAGCUGAUUCGUGGAAAAAUUUACAUCGAUACAUUGUGCAUGUACAGUUUCUGCUGUCACAUAAAUCACGAGUUAUUGUGUUUCUUAGUAAAAUCCCAAAAGAACUGAUAUAUGAGCUUUUAAUCAUCAAAAGGAAAUUGAAAAACUUCCCGACACUUGCUGCUAGGGUUUACGUUGCGAGGGAUUGUCUUGCCUUGUCUAACCUUGCAGUAUCCCAGAUGCAAAUGACCAAUUAUAGUUUCCUUCCGUUUAUAUGGAUUUAGCAUGUAGGUUUAUCUUAAUACCUAACUAUUAUUCACAUCUGCACACUGCCGGGUUCGUACUAACAUGCUGUGGGUACGCGGUGUGCCGUGAGUUCAAAGUGUGACAAGGCGCGUGUUUGGUGGAGCUUGCCUAAUCACAUGUUCACGACCAGGUAGUUCACACCAAAUUUUUCCAUGUUAAGAGCUUAUCUCUAUAUAACGAUCUCUGAAACCCUGUUUAAGAGAAAGGUCUGCCCAUAUUGUGUGGUUUAUAGUGGACAUACUAAUUAAAGAACCGGCAAAAUGAAAUAAGUUAACAAAGUAGUAAUUUUGAGCCAAGAUUUUGGCAAAUCGCAGUGUGUUUCUGCCUAGUCUGUUUUAGUCAAAACUAGCGAGACUUAGCUAAGCUAAAAUUUGGAAUCAAGAAAAGCAUAUGUUUUGUUUCCCUAGCAUGGUAAUUCACUAUGUGGAAGAGGAUAUAAACCUCAAAGAAGAGAUUUGAAGAUCUUUAACAUUUGAAACACUCCUUUAGAGCUUAAUUAGUCAUUUUUACAAAUUUAUUUCAUAUUGCAAAAUUUUCUCAACUUCUUUUACUUGAUUUGUACACUGUUGCCUCCUUUUCAAUGUAAGUACCAUGUAGUCGUAAUUGAUCUUCACGUAAUGGAAUUCUUAUUUUAAACAUCACAUUCUACAAGUUUGUGCUGUGUUUACGCUUACAUAAGCGACCAAUAUUCUCUCUAUGUGGCCUUUGAGCUAAAAUUAAAUUUGUCAGGCUGCUAACGUGUAAUAUAAUUUAUGCAAACGGGGAUAAAUAGAGUGUAACAAAUCCAUAUGGAUAGAGGUAAUAUAAUAUCUAUGAAGAAACCCCAGGCACCAGGCCUCAGGUUUAAUAUAUUAGGUUCUUGGAUGGGUUGUUUCCAGGGUGUGUGGCCUACAGGGAAGUUUAAAAAACAAAGGACAGGGAAGUUUAAAAAACAAAGGACAAAAAAAGACUGAUAGUCAAAUAUAUUAAGAAUCCUAGUGAAUUACAAGAUUAGAGUAUUUGUACUCAACUAUCAACUGUGUUUUCAUAUUUGUGGUGUCUAGAAUUUUUGUAUUGACAACAAAAUAUGCAAGCCUCUAAAUGCAACAAAGUUUGUUGUUUUUCUUUUGAUAUUCCUCUCUUUUUUAUUUUGUUUCUUUCAUAUUUUUGGUCUUCGGGAAAAAUGCCGAAACCAAUCUGAAAUUGUUAAAAUUGUUGAAAUUGUCAAAAAGUGAUAUACACUACUCUCGGCUGAAACUGCUAGAGAAACCAUACCCCACUUUGGCCCAUUAAUUGCUUCUUUUCUCUUUGGUUUUACCUUUAAAUUGUUUAGAUAUAUAGUUUCUUUAAAAAAAAAAAGAAAAAAGACAUACAUCCUCUCUAUAUCUUGUUUGAUAGAGAAUGUUUUUAUCGACGAUCAGUAAAUUGAAAUAUUAGAUUUUCAGGCUUCAUUGUUUUAUAUUUGUCCUGCAGUUGCUUGCUAUACUAUAUUGGUAACUUAGUUUUACUGUUUUGUAUCUUGAUGUCCACUUUACAGAACACAUUGGUACAAAGACGGCUGUCCAAAUCAGGAGUCAUGCACAAAAGUUUUUCUCAAAGGUUAGAAAGAAAUUUCCUCUUGCUUACACUGCAUUUACUUCAGAGUUUGUUUACUUGUUUAUACCUUGACCAAAAAUAUAAUUUAAUUUCAAUUAUUUCACUGUUGUUAUUUGUUGUUAUUUCUAGUUUACUGUUUUUUAUUGUCUCACAAUUAGAAUAGUGAAGAACAAGUUACAUGUUUGCUAUCUUUGACGAUUCUGAAACUAUACUCAUUUGUUUACUUGUUUAUACCUUGACCAAAAAUAUAAUUUAAUUUCAAUUAUUUCACUGUUGUUAUUUGUUGUUAUUUCUAGUUUACUGUUUUUUAUUGUCUCACAAUUAGAAUAGUGAAGAACAAGUUACAUGUUUGCUAUCUUUGACAACUGUGAAUGAAUUGAUAUCUUGAUAAAUCAAGUUACAAAUGAGUAUAGUUUCAGAAUCUUAUCUAGGCAGCUUAGAAGUUGGGUUUAGAUCAGCUUACUCUGCAACGAGACUGAUGAAACCCCAUUUUAAAGUCUAUCUCAUAAAUUAACUGAACUCAAACAAGUGGUUAUAUAGAGGACUUAGUUCAGCUCACCCAAAAAUAUUGGCUCGUGUCAAGUGCUAUGCUACCCUCACUUAAACAUGUUGUUUACGGCUUAAACGCAAUCAGAGACUAAAAGCUGAUCCUGCUGAUUUGAGCCUGAGCAGCCUGAGAUUUGGUUUUCGUUUUUAGACCUGGCAGAGCAUACCUCCACUUUGGAAAGCAGAAAAUAAUGCUGCACUGUUCCAAAAUAUCUGUAAAUGGAUGAAAUAUUAAAUUAAAGUAUUUUUCCUUGAAAAACAAAAUUAGUUAAACAGAUUAAGAAGCAACUUUAUUUCAUUUACAAAUUAGAGAUUAAUUCUUACAGAAUAUUGAGAUGAACAGCAUACUUAAGGGGCUGCUUGGUUGGACAGAUUUAGUAAAGUUGGCUCUCUACACAUUCUUAAAUGAGUUUUAUCAAAUUACUCCAUGCAUUCUUCUCAUCAAGCCAUUCUUAAUGAGCUCCAUGAAGUUGUUGUAUAACGAAACAUUAUGUCCUCGUUAGUAAAGAUGAUUUAAUUGAGCUGCAGUUGGAGAAAGAAGCUCUAACAAAAGGAACUCCUGUGGGGCAAAGUCAUGACAUAGAAAUCCCUCCUCCACGCCCCAAAAGGAAAUCAACUUGCCCGUAUCCUCGAAAUACUGCUGCAGGUUCCCUCUCUCCACUUGAAGAAGCAAAUGAUGGAAAAGCAUUACAUUCCACUCCUCUCAGAAGUGGCAAACAGGUGCUUUGUGUUGACGUCGAUACUUCUCAUGAGGUAAAUUUCUCCAGAUUUAGACUUUUUUGUCCCUUUUUUUCUGGAAUAAUAUUAAUGCUGAUACAUCUUAAUCAUAACUAGAAGCUUCCUGCGACAGAAGCACACCAAAGGAAAAAACAGCCAUCUGAAGCUGGCAGCAGCUCAGAAGUAUUUCACCUUUGCCAGGUAUUGAAAAUAUUACCUUUUGUAAACGCUUGGACUAGAAAAAUAUGGUUUUUUAACAUUGGUUUAGUUAUGAUUAUUCCUUCAAGUUCGAUCAACAUUAGAUUUCAGCUGCAUAGUAGCUGCAUAGUUCAAUUGCGACAAUUUAUCGUCCAAAGAAUGUUUUGCGUAACAAUAAAGUCCUAUUAAUACUGUCUAAAAAAUGUGACACAACAACACCAUCAUUAGAUUUUGCUUUGUUAGAGUUGACACUUUUGACAAUGAAAUUGAAAUCGAGGUCAAACUUCAUUGACGAGUUAACUUUGAAAUUGGAGUCAUACUUUGAGGAUGAGUUGUGAUAAUUGUGACUUUAAGAGUAGGCUCAAGAUUAUUAGUAUUCCCAAGACACGUUCUUUGAAUUAAAUGGGUGGAGGUUUUCUUUUAGAUGUGGGUGUGUUUGGUUCCACGUAAAACUGUGGAAAAAAAAAUUUCGGUGGAAAAUUUUUUUUAUGUCGUUUAGGGCAUGUUUGUGUCAGCGAAAGUGGACUUUGGGUUGAAGUGGAGUUCGGUGAAAACUACUUCUCCACUGUUUGUUUUGUAGUUAUGGAAGUGAAAUUUAUUAGUUCUGCUGUUUGUUUGAUAGGAAGUGUAUGAUAUAAAAUUAUAAUUUAUGUAUAAAUAAGAAAUAAUUUAAUAAAUAAAAAUAAUAUACUUAUAUUUUUAUAUAAUUAAAAUUUAAUUUAAAGCAACUAAAUUUUUUUAUAUAUAUAAAUUAUAGUAAUACAACAAUAAAAUUAUAAAGUAAAAAAAUAUUAAUAUUUAAUUAAUCAAUUUUUAUUAUAUUUUAAUUGUACAAAUUAAAUUAAAAAUAUUAAAACUUGACUAAUCAAUUUUUAUCAUAUUUUAAAUAUGCCAAAUGAAUAAAAGAAUAAUUAGAACCAUAAUUAAAUAUAUUUAAAUAUAACUACUAUCUUUACCUUUAAUAUUAUUUUAGUUUUUUUUUUUCACCUUCCUUCACCAUAAUUGACUUCGACCCACGAUAGGCCGAAGUCAAUUACGCCGUUUUAGGUUAACCGGAGUUUUGGCUGUAAUUGUUUUACAGCGAACCAAACAACGGAAGUGGUCAGUUUUCACCGAAAAUCACCUCCUCCCUCCCACUUCCACCCUACUUCCUUGCAAACAAACAGACCCUUAGUGUUUGGUUUGUAGGAAAAGAAAAAUACUUUUCCAUGACGGUUGUUUGGUUAAAAGGAAAAAAAUAGAUGAAAGACUAUUCAAUAUAUUUUUUUUAUUGUAAAUAUUAUUAAUAUAUAAUAAUUAAUAUACGAUAUAUAUUAUUAUUAUUAUUAUUUUUAUAGAUUAAAUAUAUUUAAAAUUAUAAAAUAUAUAUUACAUAAAAUAUAAGAAUUAUAUAUUUAGAAAUAUUAAUAAAUAAUUAUAAAUUUAUAAAUAAAAUAUUAUAUAAUUAUACCUCUAUAUAAAAAUAAAAUACUAUAUAUAUAUAUAUAUAUAUAUAUAUAUAUAGGUCGUGGCUACUAUACUAUUAUGAGUAUUGGAGACCUUGUACUCAUAAGUUGUUUUCAAUGGACAAUGGAGCUUCCGAAUCGACAAUCCACUCCGUUAAAUAUGAUCUAGACUAUUUGAAACUUUUAGAAAAUAAAUUUCGUAAAUUUUCAAAAUCAUAAUAAAAUCCGUCAAGUGGGCAUAAAAUGAACGGUCAAAAUCAAACGACGUUCUAAAAAAGGAUGAUCGGAUCGUUCAAUUCAAGAUCGGAGUUAUUGAUCUUUAUAUAUGUAGUGAAUAGAAUUUUCUAUCAAAAAUUCAACAAAUUUCGAUUCUUUUACACCGUUAAACUAGCAAGUAUCCCAUACCGACCGUUAAAAAUUGUCACAUUUGUGACCUCUUGAUCGUAAGGUAAAUGAUGUCGAAAAAUUAUAAAAUUUGAUUUCUAGAAGUUUUAAAUGCUGUAAAUAACGUUUAACGGUGUGGAUCGUCGAUUCGGACGCUCUAUCAUCGAAAACAACUUAUGAGUACGAGGGCGAUCGUACUCAUAAUAGUAUAGUAGCCGGACCCUCUCUAUAUAUAUAUAUAGAAUUAGGCUACUAUACUAUUUAUAGUACCGGAGCUCCGGUACUAUAGUCUUAUUUUCGAUCUUAGGGUGUUCAAAUUAACGAUCCACACUGUUAAAUAUGAUCUAGGGUAUAUGAAGUUCUUAAGAAUAAAAUUUUAGUUUUUUUUUACAUUGUUUAUUUAGUAAAUAAAUUAUGUCAAAAUGGACGGUGGAAAUUGAAUAAUCUUUAAAAUUUGAGCAUAGAACUUUUAAAUUCAAGAUCAAGAAUGUUAACCUUAAUCUAGAUAGUUUAAAGUAUUUUCUAUCAAAAUUUGAAGAAAUUUAGAUUCUUCUACACCGUUAAACUCCAAACUCGCCAUAGUAGCCGAUGAAAAUUGACAAUUUUGAAAUGGUUUGAUCAUAAAGUAAACUAUGUUGCAAAAGUAUAAAAUUUUAUUUCUAAAAACUUUAAAUACCCUAGAUCAGUUUUAACAGUGUGGAUCGUUGAUUUGAACACCCUAAGAUCGAAAACGAGACUAUAGUAUCUGAGCCCCAGUAUUAUAGAUAGUAUAGGAGACUAGCUCUAUAUAUAUAUAUAUAUAUAUAUAUAAUGAGAGGGAGGUCUACAGUGGACCUCCCUUUCACGCGGUCCACGAGGCCGAAGUGGCCUAGUGGACCGCGACGAGGCCGAAGUGGUCUCGUGGAUUGCGCAAAAACGUGGCCAUGAGCCGCGCUUUUUCCUUCGCCCUUUUCGUUUUCCGUCGCUCGCCCGCGGAAAACGAAAUGGAGGAUUUUCUCCAAAUAUGUAAAACUAGGUUUCACCGAAAUUUUUUUUUACAUCCAACAAAACACUUGGAAAACAUUUUUCAACUGAAAAAUUGUUUUCAGCCUAUUUUAACAUGGAACCAAACAUAGCCUAAGUGCACCAGAAAACUAUAACCAGUCCCAUCUCUCUCCAAACCUAAUGCAACUUCCUAGGAAGAGAGUGAUUGAGAGUAGAUGUGCCUCAUGGCAUUCGGACUCGGAAUUAUUUGAUUUGUUAUUAUGUGAGACAACCAAUUUUUCCUAAAAGUUUAAGCUACAAGAGAGUAGUGUUUUAAUAUAAUUAUAUUAAUACACUCCACACAGGUUGCUCCGGGUGCUUCCAUCUCCUCAGCGAACAAGAGCUCAUCAAACACUUGUACUUUUAAGCACUAUAUUCCCCUUGUGGAAGGAGGAGAUGAGAAAACCGCUCAAAGCGAAACGUCUCAGAACUUCCAAGAAAAGCAGGAACAGGUGAAGAGUGCUUCCUACACAGAUGCUGAUAAUCAUGGUCAAAACGGAGUUUACGUGAACUGGAAGGAGAAAUUAACUUACAAAAAGAAGCUGGACGUGAGAGAGCAGCGAACAAUUCGUGGCCCACUUCUGAACAACGAUCUGCGAGGAGCUCAAUGCUACUCGAAGCAUGUCCCGGAGCAAUUCAUGAGCCGCAAGAACAAUGAGAGCAGCAAGCAAUCUAAUUUUUCUGGUAACUAUGCUCCUACGAAAACCGACGUUCAAGUUAACACAUCUCAAACAAAUCCUACUACCGUGCCUGAGCAUAAUCACAACAUGAACUCUACUACGAUGCCUUCUGCUGAUCAACCAUGUUCAGUAUUUGUGCCUUUUACACAAUCGGGCAGCAACCAAGAUGCUUCUAGAACCUUUCUGUCGCCCUCAUCUUCGAGUCUCAUGGUAUCUAACUUGCUGCAUAAUCCAGCAAUUCAUGCAGUAGCCAGCCUCGCAGCUUCAUAUUGGUCGUCGAACAACUCAAAUGCCUCAAGCAGUUCAACCCUAGAAAAUAAUGGGGCAGUGCCAAAUGCACAAGUGAACUCGUCCCCGAGCAUGGUGGCAAUGGCUGCCGCCACCGUGGCAGCGGCAUCUGCCUGGUGGACGAGUAAUGGUCUGUUGCCGCUCUUCCCUCCUGUUCAGCCUGCCUUCAUUUUUCCUCCAAUGCAAACUAUGCCAAUCUCCGCAAUGGACAUGACUCGAGCUCCAGAGCAUAAAGAGGAAAAGAAGGAUGAUAGAGGUCACAAGCUUACACAGCACAAUGCGGUUUCUAAAGCAUUAUCAUCAGAGUCAGAUGAAAGUAGAAGAGAUGAAACAUUGCGGCAAGCUGCGCUGAAAUCUAUGAUAACUAAUAAGCCUAAAUCCAGACUUCACGACUCCGAUAAAGCGGCGUUAAGGACUCCAAUUCGCUCUUCUAAUGGUUCUAACACGCCUUCAAGCGGUGAUGUAGAAACUGACGGUAUGAAAAGGAAACUGCAAAGGGAGGUCAAGGACAAAGAUGAGCAAAUACAUCUUGUUAAAAAUCAUCUCCCUGAGGAGACGAGCAAUUACCAGAAUUCUAGCAAAGAAAUGCUUGAUGAUUCACGCAAGGUCUCUGGAUAAGUUUUCUAUAUUUCUGAUUGUUCCUCAUUCUUUGGUUGAAAACCUGUGUUCAACACUAAUCCUCCAAUAUCCUCUUCCUUUUCCCAGGGUCGACCUGCCUCUCUGGAGCUGUUUACUGGCGAAAACUUGCGAAAAAUUCCUUCACUGCCGCCACAGAGCGAAGAUAAAGAAGCCACUGCCUUGAUGGUGGACCUCAUUGGGGAAGCAUUUCGAUUGAGUACUAAAGUUACGGCCGAACCUGAAGAGCAUUCUAAAAUGAACGAAAUUGAACGCGUGAAGCUGAAGUCGAGUCGAAGAGCAUUCAAGCCUUACAAGAGAUGUUCGGUGGAAGUAGACAACCAAGCAACAACAAAUGAAGAUAGCUCUGACAAGAGAUUACGUCUGGGGGGAUAAACAUUACGACGACGGUUUGCAUGCGAAAAUAUGCAUUAUUUGUAGUUUGGGUUCUUCUCUACAAAUAAUAAUUUGUGUUAGAUUUUUAGAAAUAAUUUGCGUUAUAUUGUAGUUUAAUUUAGUUGUUCUAUCUUUGGUGCUUCCUUUCGACUGAUCAUAAUUACAAUCCUUUUUGGAGAUAUUGAACAUAACAUGAUUGCUGAGGGGGGCAAACUCUUGCCUUUUAGGACUAUUUGUGCACGUCGUAACGAAGUUUGCAUAACCUCUUUAAUCAUAACAAUACAUCAUAUUGUUUUGCAUUUCCUUUUUUCUCACUUUGCCUGUGUACUCCUAUGACAAAUUCUUUUUAAAAAAAAAAAAUUAAAGAAACAAAAAAAAAAAUUAUUUGUUGUCAAAUAAACAGCUUGAAGUAUUGUAAGUAAUUCAUCAUCUACUCCUACGCUGUUUUACGUAUUAAAUUUUAUUAUAAUAUAUAUAAAAAAAGAAAGCAAUGCCAAAUGGGAUAUUGAUUUUCGAGAAUAGCAUAACCUCCUAACCAUGGUAAUGGUAAUGUAACAUUUCCGUUAGUUGAGAAUCCAUAGUGAUUUCACAAAUUCCUCAAGAACUUUAAUCACUUUGCAACUUGCAUUCAAGAUAAUAAUCUAAAAUUUUAAAACAAAAAGAAUCACAAAUUCUGAACAGAACGACCCUAAAUGGAUAAACUGAAGGCAAUUUCAAAAGUUUAAUUUUACUGUGCAACCCUUUAGUUUGAUUAAUUUGAAUUAGUCAAUGAUAUUUUCACUCCAAAAUUUAAACUAAUUAUUUAUUUUAAUAAUUUUAUAAUUAUCAGAAUGGUAUGAAAUAUACUAACUUGUAAAAAUAAAAAAAAUUUAUUUAAAUUUUAAAGCAAAAAUAUUAUUGACCAAUUCAAAUCAAUUAAACUGAAAUGUUGGAUAAUAAAAUUAAAAUGGUAGAACGUCAAAAGUCGUGUCAAAAUAAUUUAUAAUUUAAAUAAAUUUUAUACAUUUAUUUUUUUUAAUAUUUGCAUGCUAAAUUUACGGUAUAAAAUAUUAUUUAUUAAAAAAAAGGAAAAGAAUGUUGGUUGGAGUUGCGCUGAAAAUGCAUUUUUUCUUGUAGCGUAAGAAAAACCCCGCGAUGGACAAGAAUUGCAGAAGAAGUCCUGAGACUGUCCGCAGUCCCCUCGCAAAGUCGCAGCUGCCAGCCCUCCCCUGUCAAAAAGAAAUCCGACAGACAUCCUUAAAUUCGGGGGAUGCGAUCCUGCCCUCCUCGGCGAAACACAAAACAGCGAAUCCAACAGCCAUACAUACUCCUUUGUGGGGCCCACCAACCACCGCUAAUUAGCGACUGUGCUGCCAACAAAAAAAAAAUAUGGGUGAAAAACAAUUUUCAAAGCACGAUCAUUUUAUUCGUCAUCCUUUAUUAUAUAGGCGACAUAAGUUUAAAAUUACGUAAACGACGUAUAAGGUAAUCUCCGGACGGACCGUUUCUUUGACUGCAUGAUAAGGCUAACAAUCUAACUCGAUCUUUGACGGCAUGAUAAGGCUAGCAAUCCAACUCGGCAAUCGCAAGCUAGCUACUGCUCGAAAUGAGAUCAAAAUGGAUUGCUCGUUUAAUAAAUGAGUCGAAUGCUAAGCUAAAUUUUUCAGCUCGAAAUCUUAACGGCCCGAAUAUGAGCUAGGGCAAGUUUGCUUAUGUUCAACUCAAUAUAGCUCAUAGUCUCGUUCAUCUGUAAUUCAGGUUGUAAUCUUUGAAGUUGAACACGAGUUGAGGGGGUGGCAGGAGAGAAUUUCCUAGCCUCGCGCGAAGCUGCCGCCGCUCCCUCUAUUUCUACUUCGCCCAUGGAGGGUCGGGGCAGUGGGGCGAGGCGGUGGUGGCGGCGUAGAUCUAAGAUGGAGGGUGAGGGAGGAGGAAGGGGUUGGAAUGGAAAAGGAGGAGCUCUGAUGGGGAAAGGACAAAAGAAAGAAAAAAGAGAAAAACGGGGACUGCUUCUAACGUAGCAGUCCGUUACAUCUCUCCUCCAUUAAAUCUGACACGAAUCUCAGAGCAGAUCUGAUGAAGGAGAACUAAUGACUAGUGCAGCUACUAUACUCAUAAGAGUAUAGUAACUGCACUCUAUAUCUAUAAUAGUCUUAUGUGUUAUUAGGAGUAUGAAUGUUUUCGUACUACUAAGCCAUUUUCGAUGAUGGGACUUCUGAAUCGACGAUCAACUCCGUUAGACUUGAUUUAGCAUAUUUAAAUUACUUAGAAAAUAAAUUUUGUGAUUCUUUGAUAUUAUUUAUUUUGUGAUUAAAAUGACUGAGAAUCAAUGGUUGAAAAUAAAAUUUCACAAAAAGAUAUAAGAUAGUACUAAAAUUUUUAUCAGAGAUAUUAAUCUUGUUGUAAGUAGUAUAUAAAAAAUUUUUAUUAAAAUUUCAUCUGAUUUGAAUACUUCUGUUAAUUAAACUUGCAAACGGCACAAAUCAACCAUUAAAAAUUGUUGAUUGUGAAACUUUUUGAUCUCUAUAUAAAUGAUAUCAAAAAAUCGUAAAUUUUUUUUUUCUAGAUAGUUCAAAUAUACUAGAUCAAGUUUAAUGGAAUCGAUUGUUGAUUCGAAAACUCCAUCAUCAAAAACGGCUUAGAACCACGCCUUUAUACUCCUAAUAGUAUACAAAACCUACUCUCUCUCUCUCUCUCUCUAUAUAUAUAUAUAAGCUAGGGCUACUAUACUUGUAUGAGUAUAGGUCCCUUUAUACUCAUAAGAUUUCGAUCAUUGGAUAAAGGGAUGUGUGGUUAGGAUGAUAGUGGUAUCCGGCUAGGAUAAUAAUGAUUCCCUAAGGUUGAGUGGGUUGUUUGUUGAAUAAUAUAAUUUAACGGGUGUAAAUGGUCAAAGAAGUAGAUCUAAUGACUAAAAAUUUAUGAGUACAAAAGGGUCUAUAUUUAUAAAAGUAUAGUAGCCGAACUCUCUCUCUAUAUAUCUAUAUAUAUAGAGAACUAGGCUGGUAUACUAUAGGUAGUACGGAGGUCUUCGAGCUACUAAGUUGUUUUCGAUGAUACGGCUUUUAAAUCAAUGAUUGAAUUCAUUAAAUUUGAUCUGCACUAUUAAAAAUAUUUAGAAACUAAAUUUCAUAAUUUUUUGAUAUUAUUUUCAGCCAUUCAUUUUAAGACUAAUCAUUUACUAGGCAAAUGAAGUCAAACAGUUAUAAAAUUUGAUUUCUAUAGUUCUAAUAAUUAUUUAGAUCAUGCCUAAUAGAGCCGAUCGUCAAAUCGGAUGUCCCAUCAUUAAAAACAACUUACAAGCACGAAAACCUCCAUACUUUCGAAUGCGCAGGACUCUCUCUCUAUAUAUAUAUAUUACGACUUCUACUAUUUGAAUUUUAGUGCACCUAAAAUAUAAAAACACCUAUAUUUUGUGAAUUUUAUUUAUUAGGUUCAAAUUUUAAUUUUUCAAAAUUUAUAUUCAAUUUUUUGCUCAGUAGUAAGGCCGGCAAUGUAGCUUCCUGUUCGCGAGCCAUUUAACUUGUUAAUAAACAAGCGAAUACAAAACUAUAUCUUUUUAGUUCGAUAUUUUAUUAAGCCGGCUCUAGCUCGCUCGUGUUCGGCUCGUUGUCGACCGAAGAAGAGUUAGAAAUUUUUGGUGGAGAAAUAUGUUUGCUGUGUGGGUCAGCAGAGCAUUUUCCUGACAACAAAAAUGCCUCAAAACUUGCAUCGCCAGCCCAGCAGUCGCAGCACGCAGUCGCGCAUCUGAAACGACCUCCAACAUUCAAUGCCCCCUCAAUCACCGUACGUAAGGGACAAAAAAAUAAAUAAAUACAUAAUCGUACCAUGUGUACUACUCUGGUUUCUAAUCUUUUAUUUUUUAUUUAAAAUUAAUUAUAUAUAUAUACCUUUCAAAAAUUUUAAAAUAUUUUAUAUAUUUUAAUUUUUUUAAAUAUAUGUUUCGUGUAUUUCUUUGUUAUUCAUAAAUAACUCUACACUGUAAAUACGGUUAAGUUAUCUCGGAUUAAAUUCAAAUUAAAUUUCUAUCAGAAUUAAAAAUAAAUUAAAAUAAUUUUUUAUCUAUAAUUAAAAGAUAAAUAAAAAAAUUAGUGAUAAUAGAAAGGUAUAUUUGAAAUGACAAAAAGUCAAAAUAUUUUUUUUUUCACUACUUAAAGGACAAAUAAGAAAAAUUGAUAACCGUAAAAAUAUAUAUUUAAAAGAGCAAAAUAAUAAUUUUAUAAAAAUAAUGAUUAAUUCUAACAGUUCACUAAUAAAAUAUAACUGUAGAAAUAUAUUUGAAAGAAAGCGUACGUUUUAUAUUAGCCUUUUAAAUAGGGAAGAAAAUAAUAAAGUUUGAAACUUUUCGGUGGAUAUAAGCAAUUGCCUCUUUCUUAAUUCAAAAUUUAUAAUCUUUGAAAUUAAUUGUACAAACGAUUCCUAUUAUUUUUUAUUUUUUUUGAAGUUUGGUCUCAAAUCCCUUCUUUAAUAUUCGUGUGCCCAUUGUACCAAACUCAAUCUCAUUAAAAUUUUUUUAUGUAUUGUUUUCCUUUUAAAACAUGCGCUAUUCGUGAGUGAAUCGUAAUUAGUAUCGAACUUUUUCAUAAAACUAAAAAGUUAAGAGAUUGAUAUAAAUUUGGAAGGUUAGGAUUUAAUUAAAAUAAAAUACAAAGGAUAGGAAUCCAACUAUCCAAGCCUGGAAAAAGAAAAACAAAAGUAGGGGCUAAAGUGAAAAAUGGUUAAGGUUAGCGGCGCGUGGUGCAAUUAACCAAAAGAUCCUCAGGUAUCAAGAAAUUGUUGGAUGUACCAGGUGCACCACGUCAUUCGUGAACCAUCCAAAAUUAAUUCUUGUACCUAGCCCGUGUGGUCGUGGAAUUUAAUAUAUAUUUUUUAAAUGACAUAACGCUUACACAAAAUAAUAUUAUUUCGUAUGAAAAUACUAUAUUGUUAGGUACCAUGAGGUUUUAGAAAAGGUCAAAAAUAUAAAAAACCACCGCUUUUUUACUCUCUCUUUUCGACUGUUAAAAAUUUAUAUAUUUUUAAAAUUUAAAAAAUAUUUUCAGUGGGUAUUCGAUUAAUGGAGAGGACAAAAUAACUAAAUUAUCCUUAUUUUUUUAUAAAAAAUAAUUUUUUAAUAUAUUUUUGUUAUUUUGAAGAAUACUUUCGAUAUAAAUUAUUAAAAUGGACGAAAUAGUGAUGAAACCAUGACGGAGGAGGUUUAAAUGCAAUAAUUUAAAAUGUUGAAAAGAUAAUAUAUAGAUUUCUGGAAGUUAGAAAGGUAAAGUAAAAAAACAUGUACUUAAUUUUAAGAGAAUUUUUUAUAAUUUAACCUUUAGGAAAAUAUAUAGAUCUCAUUUUUUUUGGUUAUUUUUAUGUUAAGAUUGUAGGAUUUAGAUCAUGUUGGUGCAUAAUUAUCUCAUUCGAUAUAACUUUAUAAUUUAUUUCAGAAGUUUGUAUAUAUUGGCAAAUGUGCAGAAUUGAAUACUAUAUUCAACAUUUAAAUUAUUUUUUUGUAUAACAUAAAUCACCAUAUACAUAAAAUAUGCUAUGCUAUGAAAUCAUGAAUGUCAAAAACUUUUAAAGAGUAAAAAUUAAUUAAUUAAUUUUUUUAUAAUAAUACUUGAAUAAGUUAUGUUUGGAUAGCUCACUUCAACUUUCAAACAAGACUUGGUUGGGUGACAAAUAUGUCAUUGUCUUUUUGUUUUUUACUUUAUUUGUGAAGCCAAGAAAUUCCCUUGAGGACCAUUAGGUUACCUUAUUGUAAGGCAUAUAUAGCCUUUUGCCUUUUCUUAGAAUCUCAUAGCUUUUCUCUCCAUGGCCAAUCCUACUUUUGUUUGAUGUCAAAUUGCAAAGAUUAAUUCUCAUCUCUUUGCAUCCUCUUUUAAUCCAUUUGGACUCGCAUAAUUUCCUUCUUUAAUUCGCUUUGUUUCCCGAUUAUUUUUUAUCCCUCAAAAUUCAAAUCAGAAACGAUGAUGUCUCUGCUAUUUACAUAAUCACUUUCUUUUCUUUUGAUUCAUCUUAUAAUCAAUAUUACUGUUUAAAACAGUUGAUCGGUAUUUCGAAUUAUAUGUCACUUAGUGAAAAAAAAAUAAAAUUAGACGAAUUUUUAGAGAAAAACCUACCAAUUUAUUCAUAGAUAAAACAAAUUAAUAAUAGUAACCUAAUGGUCCAUUCCAAAGAUUUUAGUUAGAACAAGGUGCCCCUUAAGAUUUAUCUCUUUUUGAUAGAAUCCCAUUUAGCCACUAUAUAUGGAAUCACAGCCAAAAGUUUUCUUUAGAAAAAUGUGCCUUAAAAUAUGCAUAUCUCUAAGAAAGCAUAUUUCACCCUUUUGAUUGCCUUUUUUGUAUAAAUAUAAACUUCCCAAAUAAUAUUACCUUUAUUAUUAUGUAUAAUAAACUACAACUUUAUCUCAUUGCCUCUUUUGAUUAUACUAAGCAAAAUUAAUUGCCUAUGUCAAUGUGAAAGAUGCCUUGCUCUUCUAUAAUUGUGUAGCUAGGAGAUUAAGAUAUCUUAAGCCAAUACUUUUUAAGGUUCUGCGACCGAUAUGUAAAUUCUAUAAUAAACUCAGAUAAAAAUAUAAGGUAAUUACAAUUCGAACUCGAAGUCUCGGAUACUAACUAUCAAUUUCUUAGACAAUUAUGUUAGAUACAGUCGGUAGUAUGUAUAGUUCUGUUUGUUAACAAAAAUGUACAAUCAACAUGUUAUGCUGUUAAAAAUUAUAUUGAAAUCUCAAAAUGUAACUAUCUAUAGUAAAAAUUCUAAGCAUUUAAACCUAACUUUCGAUACUCCUUUUUGAGCAAAUGUAAAUUUUGACGCCCAACCACUUGAAUAAUUAAACAUUUAUGUAUCAUAUAAUUUUGCAUAACUAAUAAAAUUCUUAAUCCUUGAUUGUUUUUUGAAAGUUUGAUAAAUACAGUUCUAUAUUUGUUUAAGUACUGCGAUGCUUAUUGAUGGAUAUUGGAGAGUUAAUGCUUUGUAUAGGAUAAAUCAAUCAAUUUGAGUAUGGAUUCUUACAAAAUAUUUAUUAAAUAAAACAUAUCAAAUUACUAAAAAUAUAUAACACUUAAAUAUUGUUUAACUAAUACAUUGUAUAAAAAAUUAAAUAUGUUUAACCUAUUUAAUUAAAUUUAGAAUGUAUUAAAUACACCAAAGUUAGUAUCUAUAUUUAGAAAUAAAUUAAAAAUACUAGCUAUAAUAAUAUACCAUAUUAUUUUGCAGGACCAAUGAUUUUGUGGAACGGGAAAUAUAGUAUUCUCGUCUCCGUCUUAGAAAAUUUUCUGCGUCUUCAUCCCUAUGGCUGCGUUUGGUUCGGGUAUAAGUAAGAACUGCUAGUUCGAGUGAUAGGUAUAAGUUCAGGUAUAAGAAGGAAUUAGACCAAUUUUGCGUUUGGAUGAAAAUUGAGUUGUUCCUAGGAAUAAGUUAAAUAGUGUUUGGAUAGUUAGAUUGGAACAAGAGGAAUAAAAGUUAUAAUUUAUUUGAAAUUAAAAUUAUAUUAUGUAAUUAGUUAACAUCAAAAUAUUACUGAAAAAUAAAUAAGAAAUUAAUUAUUAAUAAUUAAUUAUAAAUAAUAAUAAUUAAUAAUAAUUAAUUAUAAAUAAUAAAUUAUUAAUAACGAUUAUCUAAUUAAUAAUAAUUAUUAUUAUUAUUAAUUAUUAAUAAAUAAUAAUAAUUAUUAAUUAUUCUUAUUAAUUAAUUAUAAAUAAUAAAUUAUUAAUAAUAUUGAUUAUCUAAUUAUUAAUAAUAAUUAAUAUUAAUAUUAAUUAAUAAAUAAUAAUAAUUAAUAAAUAAUAAUUAUUAUUAUUAAUAAUUAAUUAUAAAUAAUAAAUUAAUAAUAACAUCGAUUAUCUAAUUAUUAAGAAUAAUAAUAAUUAAUUAAUUAUUAAUAAAUAAUAAUAUUAAUUUAUUAAUUAUUAAUUAUAAAUAAUAUAUUAAUAAUAAUAUCGAUUAUCAUUAAGAAUAAUAAUUAUUAAUAAAAAAUUAAUAAAUAUUAUUAAUUAUUAAUAAUUAAUUAUAAAUAAUAAAUUAAUAAUAAUUAUUAUUUAAUUAUUAAUAAUUAAUUAUAAAUAAUAAAUUAAUAAUAAUAUCCAUUAUCAUUAAGAAUAAUAAUUGUUAAUAAUUAUUAAAUAAAUAAUCAUAAAUAUUAUUGAUUAUUAAUAAUUAAUUAUAAGUAAUAAAUUAAUAAUAAUAAUUAUCUAAUUAUUAAUAAUUAAUUAUAAAUAAUAAAUUAAUAAUAAUAUUGAUUAUCUAAUUAUUAAGAAUAAUAAUUAUUAAUUAAUAAUGAUUAAUAAAUAAUAAUAAUAAUAGUUAAUUAUUAAUAAUUAAUUAUAAAUAAUAAAUUAAUAAUAAUAUCCAUUAUCAUUAAGAAUAAUAAUUGUUAAUAAUUAUUAAAUAAAUAAUCAUAAAUAUUAUUGAUUAUUAAUAAUUAAUUAUAAAUAAUAAAUUAAUAAUAAUAAUUAUCUAAUUAUUAAUAAUUAAUUAUAAAUAAUAUAUUAAUUAAUUAUUUAAUUAUUUAAGUAAUAAAUAAUAAUUUAAAUAUAUUAAUUAGAUUAAUUAAUAAUUUACUGUCAUUAAAAUUAAAUUUAGAUUUUAAUUAACCUUGUUCUCAUCAAGGAACAAGUUUGUUCCACGAAACAGGUAGAACAGCAAUUCCAGUCUUAUACCAGCUUGUUCCAGAUUCUCGGAAACUACUGUCUCCGGAAACCAAACAUACUAAUUUGGGAACAAAGGCAGGAACAAGAGCUUAUUCCCCCCGUUAUUUUCGAACCAAACGCUACCCAUAAGAAUAAAACAUUUUCAUUUUUGUUCUAUUUGGGACCGAUCCUCGUACAUUUGAAGAUAUGCAAGAUAGGAAUGUAUAUUUGUUCGUGAGCUCAAUUAAAAAAUUCACUUUAUUUGUUAACUUAACAAAAGUAUAUUAUUAAUAAUAUAUAAAAGCAAUUAGUGCCGCACUGAUAAUCUGAAAAUAAAAUAACACUUGGAUUCUGCAAUUGUUAUUAAUAAAGUUAAUAUUGAGAAUGCUACAGUUAAUUAAUCAUUAAUAAGAUAUUUUAUUUGCAAUUAAUUAAAUAAAAAUUCCCAUGUAUGUAAUAGUGCACAUUAAAAAGGAAAUGUACGAUCUCGGAACACGAAAGCGUACGGUACUUUCUCAACGGAAGUGUUAAAAAAAAAAAGGGACAGGAGGCAUCAAACGACAGAGAACAGCCCACGUGGCGAGAUCAGGACCACCGGAUGACCAGGGGACAGUUUCCCUGUACUAACGUAGCGCAAACCCCACUUCUCUCAACCCACGGUCUCCCGCGCGUUGACCGAGAAAUUAUGGCUGCACCCGGUGUAUUAGUACGCUUUAUGGAUCUUUUAUAAUAAUUAAUGAUUUGGCAAAAUUUUGCACAGACCCUCUGGGGGGAAAAAUUCUAGAAUGCAACGGGUAUAUUAGUGACGUGGCGUAACAAACUAAUCAAAUUAAUCCUUUUAAGAAUAUAUGUCCCAUCAUGAUUGUAAAAAAAUAUUUUUAUUGUACUUUUGUUUGAAAAGAAUGAAUGUGAUUGGCUUGUUAUUGAUGACGUGGUGUAAGUGUGACAGUGUAGAAUUCCUCCUCUGGGGGACUCAAAUUUCUAAAUUUAAAAUAGGGGGUAAAUUUUUUAUUAUAAAUGUAGAAAUUAUGUAGCCUUCUCGGAGACUCAAAUUUCACACAUACUCUUUUAGCUGACUAAAUAUUCAUAUAAUAUAAACGUAGAAACGAUGCAAUAGUGCUGUGAUUGGUGAUGACAAAAUAAAAUUGAGUCAAUAAAAUUGCAGGAAAAUUGAGGUUCAUGAUAAUUUUCUAUAUUUGAAAGGGUAUUUAUGAUAUUUUAACUUUUGUAGGGAUAUUCAUAAAAUUUAUAAGUUAUCUUAAAAAUGGUACAUGAUGUAUACCCCACCCAUCAAACGUGAGAUGAUUUUUACUAAUCACGUUAAUGUGACUACUGAAAAAGUCCCCACCCUAGGAUAGUAAAAAGUUUAGAAUGUACUGAUUAUAUUAUUAAUGUAACAUUUCUAACCAAUCAGACUGCCUUUCUUGGGUUCACCUAUCCCAUCAUGGUUAUUAGAAAAAUAUUUUUAUUAUACUUCUCUCAACGAGACAUGUGAUUUACAAAUUAUUGAUGAUAUGGUGUAAAUGUGACACAACAGACUUUUUUUUAGGAUAGAUGAGGUGUACAUAUAUACCUCUUUUGGGGUGUACAAAUAUUUUUAUUCGGAUUAAAAAAGAGUUAAGCACUAAUUAACUUAAUAAAAUGAUGGUUGUUUUUUUCUUAACAAUUCAUUGUAGGCAAAAUAUCAAUAUAUUUUACCUUCUAAACUGUUUGUUUUAUAACAAUAGCAGGACUUUUUAAUUUUUCAUUAGGUGUAUUAUAUCAGUUUUAUUUGAUUAAUUUUUUUAAAAAAUAUGUUAAAUUUAAGUUUACUAAAUUCUUAACUUGUUUGGAGAUAAAAUAAAAUUUUUGAAAUAGUUCAUUCAAUAUGAAUGUAAAUUUUACUAAUAAAUGGAUUUGAUUUUUUUUUUUUGAUAUCUACAAGGGCAUUGAUAAUAUUUUGAACUUUCAAAGAGCAUUCAUGAAAAUUACCAUUUNAGUAUUUAUCCAAAAAACUCUCGUUUCAAAGAUUUAAAAUAUCCUUUUUUCUAUGAACAUGUAAGAUUUACUCCAUAUAUUACAUGUGAAGUGGGCACUCUAUAGAAAAUGAUCGAUGUAGCUAUACUGAUUACCUUUUUAAAAUGAGAGUUUACUUGCCUUAUACGUAGUAUGUGGGAAAAACCCCACGUAUAUAUUGUAACGGGUAAAAUAAAAUCUUAUUAUUGUUAUUUUCUCUAUCAAAAGACUUACGGGAAUACAAUUUACCAUUAAAAGUACUUACGAGAAACUUUCAAGUUUUAUAAUAGUUACGGGAACAUCUAUAGUUUUUUUUUUUUAGUUUAGGUAAAUAAUCAUUUUAAAUGUAAGUAUAACUUACUUGAUAAAGUUUUUAAAAUAAAAUAGAGGUUUGUUCAAUUCUUAAAUCAUUUGAAUUUAAAUUGUAUAAAAAAUUUUUUUAAUUAGUUUAUUUUGACUAUAUUAUGUGGAUUACUUUUUAAUUUUUCAGGACGAUAACAAUAUUUUGUUUGUCAAAUCUUCCAUUUUAUAUAACUAUAAAACGGAUGUUACUUAACAAUUCUUUUUUUGUUGGUAGUAAAAUAAUUCAAUUAAUCACGAAUUGAGAAAAAAUUAGGCUUAUUUUUAUAAACAUGUGGGGUUUUCUCCAUAUAUACAUGUGGAGUAGAUAGGAUUUUUUUUCAGACAACACAGUGUAAAUGUGGUAUAGUAGUUAUUAAACAUUUAGUGUACAGAGCAACUCUCUUCAUAUUAUUUUUAUAAAAAGAUUAUUGGUACUACCCUAUCCACUUGGGUUCUUUCCGUCAGACUAACCAAUCUUUACAAUGUAAUUAUUAUAUUAGUCAUGUAAGAUUUGAAAAAUGAUAGGAUCCCACCCCUGAAAAAGUCAUCAGUGUAAUUGCACUAAUCAUUUUUAGUAGAGUGCAAACUACCCACCCCAUAUGUAGUACAUGGUAAAAAUUCUAUUGAAUAUUUAAAAUACUUAUAGGGAUGUUUUCAAUUUUAUAGUAUUUAUGGGAAAGUUUAUAUCUUUUAAUAGUACUUGGAGUUAAAAGGACGUUAAAAUAACUGAGUUAAAAUAAAACAGUAGUGGUUAGUGUCGUGAUAACGUAGCAAAGAUGCAAAUAUAAUAUACUUAUAAAUCAGUCGAUUUUCUCAUACACACUUUAAACUCAGAGGCUCUUCCGAUGUAUUAAAGAUGUAAAUAUUAUUUUUUAAAUGGGGGAUAAAAUUUAAAUCUUUAAACUCAGGGGGUCUCCUCCUUAAGAUGUGACAGUGUGAAUGUGGUGCAGUAGUUAUUGUUCGGUUAGUGUAAGUAAGAAAAGUUUGUUUUCAUGUUAUUUUUAUAAAAAAAUGUUAGUACUACCCUGUAUAUAAGAAUUUUCCUAAUUAAACUAAUCAAACAAUGCGGUGCAGUGAUUAUAUGGGCAACGUAAGAUCUUAAAAAGGGGGGUCUCCCAGACACGUUUUAAAACGGUUUAGUAAUUAAUAAUAUUUUCUAGGUAUUUCGCAUGAUUAUGUGGCCCACGUCGGUAUUAAAGAGCCAGUUGCGCGCCCUCUGGCACCCAACUCUCUUCACCCCAAACGCGAUGCAAUCAUGUCCCUUUGACAGGGGACCAGUAGGCCACCAGGACUAGAGCGGUGCACCCGACAAGAGACAGCAAACUACGGAGGACAGGGAAAAAAAAAAAUUGUGAAGGCAACUCUUUCAUGGCAUGCGAAAGCACAAGGCUCUAGCAUGUAAAGGAAAAAUUACACGUGAUAAUGUAUGUACCCUUAAAAAUAAAUUAAUUAACGUUUAUUUUAUAGAAUAAUUACUAAUUAAUUGACAUCGUAAGAGUUAUAAUUGAAAUAAUUAUUGUUAACGUCUUAGGUUCACAAUAAAAUAAAAGUCUAAUAGUCACGCCGUGAUUAACGAAAAUAUAUAAUAAUUAUUAUAUGAAAACAAUUCAAUUGUUUAUUUCACUUAAAAAAUUAACUCGAGUGCUUGUUUAUAUGUAAGGAUAGAACGUAUAGAAGUUUACAUGCUCCUAGCCAGGGUUUAUCUUGUUUUUACUUUUACAAAAUAAGAAUACCCAUCGCAAACCAAGCUUUUAUUGCCCCCCUUAUUCGAGAACAAGGACGGAAACAAGGGUUUAAUCAUACAAACCAAAGGCCUCUGUCAUCAAAGGCUCUUAGACCUUGUUCGACCAUAUUCUGACCUUAACGACAAGAUGGACAAAGCACCUUGUUUGAACAAGGAACUACUCUUGUUCCAAUUAAUUUUAGAUUUAAAUUAAAAUUACUGUCAUUUAAUAAUUAAUUAGAUUAAUUAUAUAAAUUUAAUAAUAAAUAAUGAAUUUAUUAAAAAAAAAAAGAACUCUGAUGUUAUUUAGGCAUUAAAUAACUUUUUAUUAGUCACAUUGAUGUAGCUAGUAAAAGCUAUCGCACCGGUGAAGUGUACAUUAUAUACCUCAUUUAGAAUGUACAAGUACCUUUUUUCAAGUACCUUUUUUUCUAGAGUUUUUUUUGCAUUUAGCCCCUUGGCAAAUUUUUUUUUUAAAAUAGUUUUGUCAAAAUUUAAUUUGCAAAAAUGGUCCUAGGCCUGCCACGCAGGCGCCACGUCAGCACCACACGGGCGGGGCUAGGGGGCGGUAGUUAAGUUAAACACGGUGAAUGGUUCACCUUGUUUGGUACGUAUUUUUUGUAUAUUAAAAAGAGGAAUAGGAAAUUUGUAUUCAUUUUCUUCUAUUUUUCAAAAAUCUGAACCCGAACCCGAACCCGAAAAUCAAAUUAAAAUUCAAACCCGGAUCCGAACCCGACGGAUUUUAAAAGUUCAUAUCCAUAUUCAUAUCUGACCAAAAACUUGAAACCCGAACCUGAAUCCAGCGGAUUUUAAAAAUCUAUACCGUUGGAUAAAGAUCUAAGAAAUAAAAAUUAUUAUAUUUUUUAUAUAUUGUAUAAAUAAAUAAAAAUAAAUUAUGUAUAUAUAUACUUAUUAAUUUAUUCGGGUUUGAAGUUCGAAUAAUAUUUCGGCACUAAUCCAUAGUUUAUUGAACGAUCACGUAUCUUAUAUCCUCUUUUCAUAAAAAUACGUACUAUAACACAGAUGACUAUUCAACCGUGUUUGAACCGGGUUAAGUGGUUCAUCCGUGUCACUUAAACACGUGUCCGCCUGCCGGGGGCUGACGUGGCGCUGCGUGGCAGGUACCCCAGGACCAUUUUUAGCAACUUAAUUUUGACAGGCGCUAAUUUUACAAAUAAAACAUUUGCACGGGGCUAAAUGUAUAAAAAGCUUUUUCCUAUAAAAUUUGGAAAUUUGCCAUUUCAAAAAAGCGCUAUUUAUUGAAAAAAAAAAACUCUGAUGUAUUUAGGUCGCUUAAAUAAUUUUAAAAUAAUAAUAUCCAAAGGGACGGUUAAUCUUAGGGAUUCUCAUAAGGGUAUUGGAUGUCCGAAAUUUAUUCGAAGCGAACCCGAGUGAAACGGCAUAUUCCGAAUGCUAAUGAAUUUGGAUUCAGAUUAUGGAUAUCAAAAAUAAAUAAUUCGACGGAAUCUGGAUUGGAUAUGAUUUUGGACUGAUAAUCGACCCAGAAGCCGAUUUAUUUUGUAUUAAUAUAAUAUAUAUAUAUUAAAAUUUUUGAUGUAUAUAUUUGAAUUUGUAUUUUAAAAUUCAUAGUUUAGUAUAAUAUAUUUUGAAAUAUUUGAAAAAAUAAAAUAAUUGUUUCGGGUUCAAAUUUUCGAGUUCUGCGUUCGGGUUCGGGUUCGAAUUUUUCGUUGGUUCGGGUUUGGAUAUCUGGAUUUGUCUAAAAUCCGUCGGGUGUUGAGAUUGGGGUUCGGGUGUUGCGUCUCGGGUUGUGGAAUCGGUCGGCGUUCGGAUUGUGUUGAAAAUCGCCCGAAUCGACCGUUUGACAUGCUCUAGUUAGAUCAUAAAUUUAGCAUUCAAAAUUUAGCAUUCUUGGUGCUUGUAAUUAUUUAGUCAUUGGAUUAAAAAAUAUGGUUAGGAUGACGUGGGCCCCCUAGGAUUGAGUGGAGUGGUUGGUUGAAUAUAGAUAUAAUCUAACGGUUGAAAAUGAUCAAAGACAUAAAUCUAAUGUAAAAAAAUUUUAUAAGGCACCAAUGUUUCAUGCUUUUACAAGCAUCAUAUCUGAACUAUUAUUAUAUAUAUAUAUAUAUAUAUAUAUAUAUAUAUUAUAUAUAUUAUAUAAAUAUAUAAUUUCAGAAGUAUAAAAGUUAUUGUUUCCGAAUUUUUUGAUUCUUAGACUAAAAAUUAUAGACUGAGAUCACAGUGGUCCUCAUAGGAGUUUAGUAAUUUCCGAAGAGAAUAAUAUUAAUUUAAAGAUAGAAAUGAUAAAAAAAAAUGAUUCAAAAAUGUAAAAAUGAGCACCACGUAAGUGCAGAUUUCGAGGACUUUUUUUAAAUAACCCUCUAAAAUUUUUAAAAUUUGCGCGAAUAACCCACUCAAUUUUUAUUUGUAAAAUAACCCUCUUUUGCCACGUGGCGCCACGUUAGAAUUUUUUUAAAGGGGUAAAUCGUUACGGCGUUUUUUCAUUUUUUUUAAAGAGGUGAAUCGUUCACCGUCUUUUCCUAUUUCUUUUAAAGAGGGUGAACUUUUCACCCGUUUCUCCCAUACUUUAUUUACUGUUAUUUUCUAUAUUCCAUAUAUAAUCCUAACAAUCACAUAAAAUUUAACAAAUUAUAUUAUAAUUUAACAACUUUUAAAUCUGAAUAUUAUCUAUAUAAUUUCAUAUAAUCUUAACUGCUUUUAUAUGAAAUUAUAUGGAUAAAUUAUUAGGAUUUAAAAGUUGUUAAGAUUAUAUGGGAUAUAGAAAGAAACAGUAAAUAAGUGAAAGACGGUGAAUGAUUUACCGUUUUUAAAAGAAAUGGGAGAAAGCGGUGAACGAUUCACCGCCUUUAAAAGAAAUAAGAGAAAACGGCGAACGAUUCACCGUCUUUAUAAGAAAAUCCUGACGUGGCGCCUACGUGGCGAAAGGAGGGUUAGUUUUACAAAUAAAAUUUUCAUAUAGUUAUUUUGCCAAUUACAAUUUUUUAGAGGGUUAUUUUAUAAAAAAGCCCGAUUUCGAAUCACAAUAGUUAGACUCAUUAUAUAUUACAUAUAUAGGUGUUCGAAUUACAGUGCAUGAAAUGUUAUAACACCGGGUGCAUGAAAUAAUUUACUCUCGAGUCAUACCAGUAUCGUGCAGUAGGAUCGGCAGCUACAGCCACCCCUACUCUGAGAAAUUAUUGCGUGCACUCAGUGUAUUCACUUGCCACAUGCACCGCGCAUAAUAAUAUCGUACUGCUAAUUAAUUCAUUGCAUUUUAGUUUCAAGCUUUUAAUUUUUGGUAAUAUUUCGGUUUAAAUUUUUAGAUUAUUAUAAGCAAAAUUCACGAUCUAAUUUACUUUACUAUAUCAUAAUGUAUUAUUGAUUUACAUUUUAUUUGAGACCUUAAAGAAAAUUGAUGCCUAAAAUUUUAUAAUUUUAUAUAUAUAUAUAUAUAGGCGAGAGGAGCGGUGCAUGGGGAUGCACUCGUACACCUGUUGCGGGCGAUAAUUUUUUCGCCAACCCACUCCGCACGUGCGACCAAAACCGCCUCUUAAAUCUCACAUAGGUUAAAAUGUAUGAAGAACCCCUACACUACCGUUCAUCUGAAAUGGACCCUUCAACUAAUUAAUUUUUUUCUUUGUUUACUGUGAAUUCUUUGAUAAAUUUUUUGAUUGAUUAGAGAUGUUAAAGCAACACUAAUAAGUAAACAAAUUUGGAAGUUGAAGGAUGUGAAUCGGAAAUGGAAUAUCGUUGAGGAGUUCUUUAUACAUUUUGCACCAAGCUAAGCUAAUAAACACCCACCCACUCCACCACUUUUCCCCUCCCAAACCCCUCUGUUUUUUGCCUCUUCGUCCCACUCUACAGAUAAACCGAAUCUUUCCCCUCUCUCUCUCUCUCUCUCUCUCUCUCUCUCUCUCUCCUUUCCUCUUUCUUCUUUUUCUGCUAUUAACCCCUCUCAAGCGUUGUUGUUGUGUGUGUGUGUGUGUGUGUGUGUGUGCGCGAGAGAGAGAGAUAGAGAGAGAGUAGCGUUGAUACACCGUGUGGAAUCAGAACAAUAUCUUACUUCGCUUUUUUUUUUUUUUUUUUCUUCUUUUUGUUCCUCUCAAUUCUUGCGUGAUUUGUACGGUAUAUCACCGCCGCUCCCUUGCUAUCUGUCUCCCUCUCCCUCUCCCCCAAGCUUCUUCUGAGGACAAGAAAAGGAAGCCCAAAAAAAAGAAAAGAAAAGAAGAAGAAGAAAUCUCUUAUUUUGUUGUUGUUGUUGUUGUUGUUGUUGUUGCUGCUGCUGCUGCUGUUGUUGUUGUUGUGUUUGUUUGUUACUGUUGUUGUUGUUGUUGUUGUUGUUGUUGUUGUUGUUCGGAGAUGGAGAGGAGCGACCCGGCAUCGUACUGGUUCGGCGACGACGACGACGACUUCGACCCCGCGGCGCUCCCCGCCCUCGAUCGCGCCGCGGACGACGACGGCGGCUUUCUCUCCGAGAUCGACCGCAUCCUCGAGAGCAUCAACUCAGAACAGGCCUCGCCCCCGGCCCCGGCGGCGGCGGCGGCGGCGGCGGCGGCGGCGCCGCCGCCUGAAAUUGUUGUGGCCUCUGAAUUCGCAAUCGCCGAGACGGCAGCGGCGGCGGUCCUCGGGAAGGAGUUCGUCGUCAAGAACGGCGGAGCGGCGAGGAGGGACGGCGAUUGGAGGGAUCGGAGAAGGCGGGGGGACGGCGAGUGGGGCCGGAAGAGAGAGCGCGACGGCCUCGCCGGAGACAGGAGGGAGUGCCGGCGAGGGUAUUGGGAGCGCGACAGGUCCGGGAAGGUCGUCUACCGUGUCGGCUUUUGGGAGCCCGACUGCGAAAGAGAGGCCAAGAGAGUGCGAAGGGGUAGCCCGGAGCAAACCAGGGCGAGCCCCGAGUCGCGGCGGACGGAGGAUGCCGCCGCUGCCGCAGCGGCAAAGAAGGAGAAGCCGGCAGAGGAGCAGGCGCGGCAGUACCAGCUCGACGUCCUCGAGCAGGCGAAGAAGAAGAACACCAUCGCCUUUCUUGAGACCGGGGCCGGGAAGACCCUCAUUGCCGUGCUUCUGAUCAAGAGCGUCUGCGCAGAUUUGCUCAAAGAGAACAAGAAGAUGCUCGCCAUCUUCCUCGUCCCAAAAGUCCCUCUUGUGUAUCAGGUAGUAUAUCUAGCACAAGAGGAAGCUCUGAUAUUGUGUGCUUGUUUCUAAGGGUUUUGAAUUUUGAUGAUUACAGCAAGCGGAGGUCAUUCGCGAGAGGACCGGGUGCAAUGUCGGGCAUUACUGCGGGGAGAUGGGACAAGAUUUCUGGGAUGCUCGGAGAUGGCAACGCGAAUUUGAAUCCAAAGAGGCAAGAGUCUCAUUUUUUUUUUCUCGAAUUUCCUCGUGAAAAGUUAAUCUUUUUACUCGUCUCUAUAUCUUAAUUUUUGAUAUCUUGGUUCAGUUUAGUGUGCAACUUCGAUGGGGAUAUGUUUUCAAAGGAACUUCCGUACUAAGAUUUAAACAAUUCGCUUUAUUAGCUUCGGAGGAAUUUUUAGGAGAUUCUUCAAGAACAUAUUGAAAUGAGUUGUUCUUUGCAGGUACUAGUUAUGACAGCUCAAAUUUUAUUAAACAUUCUCAGGCACAGUAUAAUUAAAAUGGAAGCUAUCCAUCUUCUAAUUUUGGAUGAGUGCCAUCAUGCUGUGAAAAAACAUCCAUAUUCCUUAGUGAUGUCUGAAUUUUAUCAUACAACUCCAAAGGAUAGAAGGCCUGCUGUUUUCGGUAUGACGGCUUCUCCUGUCAACUUGAAGGGUAUGAUCUUUUUGGAGUGUUGUGUUGUUCCAUCGUAACUUUCCGUUGUUCUUUUCUUGGCUAGCACAUGCAAUAGCAUUCGCCAUCUUGUGUUCCAAAACUUCUGCUAGUAGUGAAUUGGAUUUUUUUUUUUUUCUUUCUGCUCAGGAGUUUCUAGUCAGGAGGACUGUGCUAUCAAGAUUCGGAAUCUUGAAAGCAAAUUGGAUUCCAUUGUGUGUACGGUGAAAGAUCGAAAAGAGCUGGAGAAACAUGUUCCUAUGCCUUUGGAAAUUGUCAUCCAGUAUGAUAAAGCAGCUACUCUCUGGUCGCUGCAUGAGCAAAUUAAACAAAUGGAAGUGGCUGUUGAAGAAGCUGCGCGCUCUAGCUCGCGAAGAAGCAAGUGGCAGUUCAUGGGAGCUCGAGACGCGGGGUCAAAGGAGGAACUGCGCCUCGUCUAUGGUGUUUCCGAAAGAACUGAAAGUGACGGUGCUGCUAAUUUAAUUCAGAAAUUGCGAGCUAUAAAUUAUGCCCUAGGUGAACUAGGACAAUGGUGUGCUUAUAAGGUAUAUUUCAUUAUAUCAAAUUGCCUGUAGCUAAUGUUUUGCAAACACAUCAUAUUUAAAUAGCUCUUGCAAAACUGGUUUCAGGUUGCGCAAUCAUUUUUGACAGCUUUGCAAAAUGAUGAAAGGGCUAAUUACCAGGUUGAUGUCAAGUUUCAAGAGCAAUAUCUAAUGAAAGUUGUAGGAUUAUUGCAAUGCCAGCUGUCUGAGGGAGCUGUCACGAAAAAUGAUUCAGACAAUGCAAAUAUGCGCAAUGGUGACUGCCAGUGCACGGAAGAACUAGAGGAGGGGGAGUUGCCGGACAGUCAUGGUCGGUGCUUGAGUUUGGCUUGUUACUAGCUUUUCUCAAUCUUCUAAAUUUUUCACUUUCGUUUUAUAGAUCUUUUUUGUGGGUUUUUUUUUUUUUUUUUUUUUUUUCCAUUUGUUUAGUUUAUCUGAUUUUGUCUGCAUUGCAACUUUUGUAGCCGUCUCUGGUGGUGAACAUGUAGACAUUAUCAUUGGAGCUGCUGUGGCAGAUGGAAAAGUUACUCCUAAGGUGCAGGCGUUGAUUAAAAUACUUCUUAAGUACCAACACACAGAGGAUUUUCGUGCUAUUAUCUUUGUGGAGCGAGUGGUUGCUGCAUUAGUUCUUCCCAAGGUUAAAUAUACCCUACUGCUUUAUUUAUUUAUCUGCGAAAGAUCUUAUAGUGAGCCUAGAUCACUUUAUGUAACUCUUUUUCUUUCCAUAUUCAGGUCUUCUCAGAGCUUCCGUCCUUGAGCUUCAUUAAAUGCGCGAGUUUGAUUGGACACAACAAUAAUCAGGAGAUGCGCACAUGCCAAAUGCAGGACACGAUCGCUAGAUUUCGUGAUGGAAGGGUAUGUUUUAAUUCCAGAAAUUUCUGGGUGCUAAAAUCAUAUAGCUGCAACUAGUGCUGGGAUUCAUAUUUUUAAUGAAAUUUUUGUUGGCCGCUAUUUAGCUUGCUUAUUGUUUAUUUGCAAACUGGCUGUCCCCUUGAAGUACUGUCUUCUGAAAUAAUACUAAGAAGUCUUGCCCACCUUUGGAGCAAAGUUGAUGUACGAUGAAGUUGUUCAUUGUAACAUGCAGGUUACUUUACUAGUAGCUACAAGUGUAGCUGAGGAAGGACUUGAUAUUCGGCAGUGCAAUGUUGUUAUUCGUUUUGACCUUGCAAAAACUGUUCUAGCUUAUAUCCAAUCAAGAGGUCGUGCUAGGAAGCCUGGAUCAGAUUACAUAUUGAUGCUUGAAAGGUACUUGAUGUUUACUAGGAAGUUGUAUACACUACUAGUUAUUUAUCUUAUUUUGCUAAACCAGACUGAUGUAAUUUUCAGGGAGAACUUAUCACAUGAAACAUUUUUGAGGAAUGCCCGUAAUAGUGAGGAAACGUUGAGAAAGGAAGCUAUAGAGAGAACUGAUCUCAGUCAUCUUAAAGGUACUCCUAGGUUAAAUCCAAUUGAUAUAUUACCCGGUUCGAUGUAUCAGGUGGAGUCAACAGGUGCUGUUGUCAGUUUAAAUUCUGCUGUUGGACUCAUCCAUUUUUACUGCUCCCAGCUACCCAGCGACAGGUACUUGCCUUUCAUGAGGAACUGUAGAUCUCUAGGUCUUUCUCUGAAUUGCCUUUUUUUAAAAUUCUUUUUAUAAUUUUGUGAAUUUAAUGCAUCUUAUGUUGAAUUAGAUAUUCAAUACUUCGUCCGGAGUUCAUAAUGGAAAGACAUGAGAGGCCUGGGGGCCCAACUGAAUAUUCCUGCAAGCUUCAACUCCCUUGUAAUGCUCCAUUUGAGAAGCUUGAGGGUCCUAUAUGCAGUUCAAUGCGCCUGGCACAGCAAGUAUGAUUAUAUUUGGCUACCAAUUAUUAUCAAACAAUGUGGGUAUCAGAAAAAGUGUGAACUGGGAGUUGUCUCUACUUUGCAGGCUGUUUGUUUGGCUGCUUGCAAGAAACUACAUGAAAUGGGAGCAUUUACGGACAUGCUUUUACCUGACAAAGGAAGUGGAGAGAGGGGUGAAAAAGUUGAGCAGAAUGAUGAAGGUGAUCCGCUUCCUGGAACAGCACGGCAUAGAGAGUUCUAUCCUGAAGGUGUUGCAGAAAUUUUACAGGUGAGUUCAUUUCAAACUCUGUUAUUUAUUUCCAAUCAUUUUUCGCAUCAUUUGAAUUGUUGUUUACGGAAGGUGGUGAUAUUCCAAUUUAUAGGUUUAGAGGGAAUUCUUUCAUUAUUAUUAGUGUAAUCAUGCUUGCAAAUUUAGUCAUCCAUUUGAGAAUAAUUUUUGCUGAAGAUUGAUCUGAGAUUCGCUUUGAUAUUAGCAUCAUCUAGAAGACAAUAACUGAAAAUCUACAAUGCAAGUUAUUUUUUUUCCACUGUAAAGCUUUUGCUUUUUCACUAAAGUUUAAACAUUUCCUUUUUGCAUACUAUUUCGGGUUUCUAUUGGUCUUGCUCAGGCAAAUGGGCAAUUGAUAGAUCUAAACACAUCUUUAAGCCUUGGAGGGUGGAUCUGUCAUUUCAUUUAUUGGGUGAUGUGACCUUCAUUUAUUUCCAUUUUUGUUACAAAGAAAGGACAUAGACUAAGACUGAGCGAAUUGACGGAAAAAAAAAAAAAAAUCAGGCUUCUAUCAGAUUAAUAGUGUGCAGUGAUUUUCCUCAUUCCAUGGUGUCUGGUUACUAUUCUUACUGCUGCACCACCAUCAAGUGCUUUUUCGACCCUUGUCUCUCGAGUAGUGUACUUUUUUUCUUUUUGCUAGGAACGCAUUCGAAGCCUUACAUUGGAGUUAUCUUUAUGAAUGCAGGGAGAGUGGAUUUUAUCUGGGAGAGAUGGCUCCCACAAGUGUCAAUUGUUCAAAUUGCAUAUGUAUGCUGUCACCUGCGUUAAUAUUGGGACUUCUAAGGACCCAUUUCUUACGCAAGUUUCAGAUUUUGCUGUCCUUUUUGGCAGUGAGCUGGAUGCAGAGGUAUAAAUUGAUUACCGCUUUGCCACACAAUCUGGAAAUGGUUUGUUCAUCUCUAAGAACUCGUUUAUAUUUUGUAGGUUUUAUCGAUGACGAUGGAUCUCUUUGUUGCUAGAACAAUGGUUACAAAGGCAUCUCUUGUCUUCCGGGGACCAAUAGAGAUAAUGGAAACUCAGGUUUGUUGCUCUUCUCUAUCAUAAGAAAUAUAUAUGGUAUAAGCUGCUGAUUUUUCACUUUUGGUAUUAAUAUUUUUUUCCAGCUGGUUUUGCUGAAAAGCUUUCAUGUUAGACUCAUGAGCAUUGUACUUGAUGUCGAUGUUGAACCCUCGACGACUCCAUGGGAUCCUGCAAAAGCCUAUCUAUUUGUGCCUAUAGUAGCUGAGAAAUGCGUUAAUCCUGUAGAAGAGAUUGACUGGAUGCUGAUUGAUAACAUAGUGAACGAACACGCAUGGAAGAAUCCACUUCAGAGGGCACGCCCUGAUGUUUACUUAGGUACCAAUGAGCGAACCCUUGGUGGAGAUAGGAGGGAGUAUGGGUUUGGAAAACUACGUCAUGGAAUGGCUUUUGGUCAAAAAGCCCAUCCUACUUAUGGUAUCAGAGGAGCUGUUGCGGAAUUCGAUGUUGUUAAAGCUUCUGGGUUAGUCCCUAAUCGGGAUUAUGGAGUAAGCAUGGAUGAAGCUUAUUAUUAUAGUCAAGGUAAAUUAUUCAUGGCAGACACCUGUAUGGACACGAAAGAACUUGUUGGAAGGAUUGUAACAGCUGCACAUUCGGGGAAAAGGUUCUAUGUCGAUUCUGUUCGCUACGAAAUGAAUGCUGAGAACUCAUUUCCCAGGAAGGAGGGUUACCUAGGGCCGUUGGAGUAUAGCUCUUAUGCUGAUUACUACAGGCAGAAGUAAGUUAAAUAUUCCUUUGUUGAAUGUGUCCUGUAUAUAAGCUUUCAAGAGAUUCUAAUGUAUCAGGUUUAUAAGCUAUCAAGAUAUUCUAAGUUCGGGUCAAAUAAAAUUCACAUCGUUGUGUCUUUCAAUUGUUUUCAGGUAUGGUGUAGAGUUAAUUUAUAAGAAACAACCUCUUAUACGAGGACGGGGCGUCUCAUAUUGCAAGAAUCUUCUCUCCCCUAGAUUUGAGCAUUCUGAAGGUAGUUUUUGUCAUCUCCUUUUGCCUUUUUUUUUUUUUGUGCCUUAUUCUCAUUUUCACUUCUAACUGGCAGAACUUUGGGUUUUUGUAGCACGAGAUGGUGAAUCCGAGGAGAAUCUAGACAAGACCUACUAUGUAUUUUUACCUCCCGAGUUAUGCCUGGUUCAUCCACUUCCUGGAGCUCUAGUCCGUGGUGCUCAAAGGUUGCCCUCGAUAAUGAGAAGGGUAGAGAGCCUUCUUCUGGCAGUUCAGCUGAAGGAUAUGAUCAACUAUCCUGUCCCCGCUUCAAAAGUACUUCCAGCUCCCUCAGUCUGUUUGUUUCCAAAUCGAUACUAAAAGAACCGGUUUUUCUUGAAAAUCUUUAAUUUGCUUAUUUGGCUCCAUGACCUCUUCUUUUUUUUGUCCUUUGGCCAGAUAUUGGAAGCCUUGACGGCAGCUUCAUGUCAGGAGACAUUCUGCUAUGAAAGAGCGGAGCUGCUUGGCGAUGCAUACCUCAAGUGGGUUGUCAGUAGAUUCCUUUUCCUAAAAUAUCCUCAAAAACAUGAGGGGCAACUUACCAGGAUGAGGCAACAGAUGGUGAGUAACAUGGUACUGUACCAAUACGCCCUUAAUAAGGGGCUCCAAUCGUACAUACAGGCAGAUCGCUUUGCCCCUUCUAGAUGGGCUGCUCCUGGAGUUCUUCCUGUUUUCGAUGAAGACACCAAAGAAUUGGAUUCGUCCAUUUUUUAUGAAGAAUCUCCUGCUGAUGACGGUGAGCUUCAAAAGGACUAUUACGAUGAUUGUGAAGAAAAUUUCCGAGAAGAUGGUGAAAUCGAGGGUGAUUCAAGCUGCUAUAGAGUUCUCUCUAGCAAAACUUUAGCAGAUGUUGUGGAAGCAUUGAUUGGGGUCUAUUAUGUUGAAGGUGGGAAAAUUGCAGCAAACCACCUUAUGAACUGGAUCGGGAUCCAAGUGGAGCUGGACCCACUGGAGAUUCCCCCUCCAAAGCCAUAUAAUAUACCUGAAAGCGUGAUGAGGAGCAUCGAUUUUGAUUCCCUAGAAGGCACAUUGAACAACAGGUUUAGAGACAGGGGACUACUGGUUGAGGCCAUUACGCAUGCCUCGAGGCCUUCGUCGGGUGUUUCUUGUUACCAAAGGCUCGAAUUUGUUGGUGAUGCUGUGUUGGACCAUUUGAUCACAAGGCACUUAUUCUUCACGUACACUGACUUGCCCCCUGGUCGCCUGACUGACUUGCGGGCUGCAGCUGUAAACAACGAGAACUUUGCACGGGUUGCGGUCAAGCACAAGCUGCACGCGCACCUUCGUCAUGGAUCAAGUGCAUUGGAGGCACAGGUUUGCUUGUUUUCAUUCACCUGUUUCUAGCUUAAAGGGAUUAAAAAUGAGUAAAUGAAUGUUUUGUUUUGUUGAAGAUUCGGGAAUUCGUGAAGGAAGUACAAGAAGAGCUGUCAAAACCAGGUUUCAACUCUUUCGGUCUUGGAGAUUGUAAGGCUCCAAAGGUUCUUGGAGAUAUUGUUGAGUCUAUUGCUGGAGCCAUUUUUCUUGACAGUGGGCGUGAUACUUCAAUAGUUUGGACGGUAGUUUUUUGGUUCUUUCAGUUGAUUCACUAUUGUAGCAUUUUUAUUCCAGAUCCCAUGAAAGAAUGAAAUAAUAUUUUGGGUAAAAUGUAUGGAAAGUCCCUUACUAUGUUAUUAUUGCUAGUUGGUCCCUAAACUUAAAGACUUAGAAGUCCUUUCGUAAUUAAGUUAUCUUACAACAUGCGACUUCUUCCUAUAAUGUUGUAACCUUUUUAACUGCUUCAAGAACAAUGGAAUAAGUAGUCAUUAUAGACAGUUAAGAUGACCUAUACAGGAUCAGCUGUACUUAUUUAUUUUUAUGAAAUUGCAAUAUAUGAGAAGGCUCAAGAAUUAAAAUCUUUCAGUGAAGAGUUCAGAGGCUAAAUCUCAAUGUCAGGAUUGUACAUGGAUACCUUACUGAUUUUUGCAGCAAAAAAGGUCAUAUGAUUGAUUCCUUUUGCCACCCAGGUAUUCCAACCGUUGCUGCAUCCGAUGGUGACCCCGGAGACUCUUCCGAUGCACCCAGUGAGGGAGCUCCAAGAGCGCUGCCAGCAACAAGCUGAGGGCUUGGAAUACAAAGCGACGCGCGCAGGCAACGUAGCUACAGUGGAAGUUUUCAUCGAUGGGGUUCAGAUUGGAAUAGCACAGAACCCACAGAAGAAAAUGGCGCAGAAAUUGGCUGCGAGGAAUGCUCUCCACACCUUGAAGGAAAAGGACAGCGCAUUGAAGAGAGAUCCAGAGAAGAACGGUGAAAGGAGGAACGGAACUCAGAUGUUCACAAGGCAAACUCUAAACGACAUCUGCUUGCGAAGGCAAUGGCCGAUGCCGCAAUACCGCUGUGUGAACGAAGGUGGCCCUGCACAUGCGAAGAGGUUCGUCUAUGCGGUGCGUGUUAACACAUCCGAUCGUGGAUGGACCGAUGAGUGCAUUGGGGAGCCCAUGCCUAGCGUGAAGAAGGCGAAGGACUCUGCCGCUGUUCUUCUCCUCGAGCUUCUUAAUCGAUCGUAUCCUGAUAAUAAUAAUAAUAAUAAUAAUAAUAAUGAUAAUGAUAUUAACAACAACAACAACAACAACAACAACAACAACAACAAUACAAUAAUAAAUAAUUAUAAAUAAUUAUAAUUGCUGUUGUUUUGUUAUUAUAUUAUUAUUUGAAUGGUGCCAUUCCUUGUGGUCUCUGUUAAGUGCAGCUAGAGCCUAAACAGAGACAAGCUACACAGACAAGUGAAGUAUUCUUUAUGUGCAAUGUUGUAUGCCAGAUGGUAAUUAUUAACUUAAUUCUCUUGAGAGUGGAAAGGAAUGAAAAGAUGUUUUCUUUCAACUCUGUUGUUGCUGGUUCUGUUUCUAAACUGUUUGUUCCCAAGAUGUGUAACUGGAAACCAGAAUCCCAGGACCUGGAGUUGUUAUGUGCCGAUUUAUCGGUUUACUGGUAAAUGUGAUAGUAAUAAUUUUAAGUAGAUGAAGAAUGUUCAGGUGGAGAGAUCAGGUAAACUUGUUUGCUUAUUUCAUGUAACCCUAAGAAGUGAUUGAUUUCCUUGUUUAAUUUAAUUAUAAAUCAUCCAUGUAGAGAACAAGGUAAGUAUCUUGACUAUCAGGACUAAUAAAUAGGGUAAAAUGAACUUCAGCUUUUUGGUAAAUUGAUUUUGAACUUUGAAUUUUUGGCAAGGGAAAACUUCAAAAACCCCUCAUGUGGUUUCGCACUUUUUCACUUUAGUAUUCUAUGGUUUAAAAUGUAUCAAUUUGUCCCCAUGUGGUUUUGUUUUUAUCUUUUCUAUAGUUUUUUUUUUAAUAUUUCGUUAAAUUAUAUACAAAAAACUUCAGAUACCCAUUUAGAUUCACUGAAUAUUUACUUUAGUACUCUUUAAUUUUAAUUUUGUCACUGAUUUAAGAAAAAAAAACAAUAAAAUUGAUAAAAAAAAAAGAGAAAAACGAAACCACAGUGGCGCAAAUUGGUACACUUUAAAUCAUAUGGUACUAAAGUGAGAAAGUGUGAAAUCACAGGGGGAGUUUUUGAAGUUAUCUUUUUUAGUAAUGAGGCCUUGUACAUUUUAUUGAAUAGUUUAAUAAUUAUACAGUUAUUUUGAUCAUGUCUUGCAUAUCUUCUUGUGAACGCAAGAAGAAAACAACAAAAAUAGAAUACAGGUUCACUAUGUUCUUCGACCCUUAUACUUAGUUAUCAAAAUUAGAGUAGGGAAAAUAGGCAUUUUUUUUUUUUUGUAUUUUGAAUCUUACAAGAAUAUAUGCAUGACAUGCUAUCGAAAUUGUUGUAUUUAAUAAUUGUGAUUAAUUAACCAUUUGAUAAAUUUUAAAAGGGUCUAGUUGUCAAAAGUAAAAGUUUUUUUUUUUUUUUGAGAAAAUCAAAAGUAAAAGUUGGGACGUCUAUUUUUAGGACUACUAAAAUAUAUAGCUAUAUUUUUUCCCUAUUAUUUUAUAGCUAUCUUUUUUCCCUAUUAUUUUAAUUAGAGAAUCCCUAAUGUGGACAUGUUUGUUUAACUGGAGUGUGGAGAAUGAAGUUGUUUCCCGUCACAAAUAUCCACUUUCGUUAUUAAAUUUAGCGUAAAUUAAAUUUUUUUUAUAACUCAACUGUUAAAAGAAAUAUAUAAUUGGCUUCGUCCUGUCCUGUGUGGCAUUGAAGUCAAUUAUGAAAACAAAGGAGAGAAAGAUAAUUAAAAAAUAACUCCAAUAAUUUUUGUCAUUCUCUUAUGUGUUGGUAUGAAUAUUCUAAAUAAAAUAAUUAAGAAGUGAAAUAACUAAAGUUUUAAAAUCAUUAACUUGCUAUCAAAUAGGCAUUGAAAGAAAAAUACUUUUAUCUAAGUUUUAUUUCACCUAGAAGUUAUUUUUAUUUACAGCAAACAGAAAAGCCCGUAUUAUGUUACCAUGAAGACGAUUGAAUAUAGUUGGAUUUAUGAAAAACCAUAUCUGCAUCCAUAUUUUUCUUCGAAUGCGAAUUUGAAUGUAAAUAUGUGAUAGAUGCUAAACUUUCAUUAUUAGAUUCAGAUUUAAGUUAGAUAAUAAUAUAUACUAAUAUGUAUAUAUAAAUAUAAACUAAAAUUAAUAUAAAUAAGACACACAAUAUAACUAAAGAUUCACACUCAUUUUCGAACUUCAUAUACAUAUAUUUUAUUCAAUAAAAUUUAAUAUUUUAAAAAAUAUUAAUUUAUACUUAAAAUAAACAAAGAAAGUGAUAGAAAAUUAAUUUAUUUUUCUAUAAUAUAUAUUAAUAUUUUUUUCUCUUAAGAGUAAAAACAGUCGAAUACAGUGCAACUUUUUAAGAAAUCAUAUUUACAAUCUUUUUUGUUUUUGUUUGUUUGUUUGUUUGUUUGUUUUCUUUUGGGCUUUUUUUGCAUUUGGCCCCUUAAAAAAAAAUAUUUUAAAAAUAGUUUCAGUAAAUUUAUAUUUACAAAAAUGACCCUAGUCCUGCCACGUAGGCGUCACGUGAGCGGGGCUAGGGCCAGUUUGUUAAGUUAAACACUGUGAAGGCGUGGCGGGGAUACGGCCAAAUUUGCAAUUAUAAGUUUGACGGAGUUAUUUGCAAAAAAAAAAAUUUGAGGGGCCAAAUGCAAAAAAACCCUUUUUUUUCUUUUUUUUUUUUUUCUGUGAGUAUCGAAUACUAAAUUUUUAUAUUCAUAUUUGCAUACUACCGAAUCAGAUGUACCCUACCCACUUUCACCCUUACAGUGUCUCUAUUUCCAACAAAGACAAAUUAGUAACAUUAAUUAUUAAGCGUCUUCCGCAUAUAAAGAAAAGUAAAAACGAAACUUAAAAAAAAAAAGUGAGGAAGAGGAGGAAAAGCCGAGAAGAGGAGGCGCGAUCGAUCCCUAAUCUAUCGUUCUCAUCAAAAAGGUCUUUAAUUCAUGCUUCCACUCUUCAUAUUCUUUUGAUUUCCUUUCUAUUGAUACUCAUUUAUCUAUAAUGCAAUCAAGUAUUUUAGAGAGGAAUCUGAUGAGAGUUAUGAAAUUUCUAGUAGUUACUGGUGAUGUUUUUGUUUAAUUUCUUAGGUUAUUAUUCUUUAAUGAUACAUUGGGUGGUUUUCAUGUAAUAAAUUUGGGAUAUUGGUGGAGGAAAAGAGGGUUGUUUUUCAAGGGAUUAAAAUUGGGUUUUUGGAAGCGUCGGUUUAGUUCCCUCCCUCACCAUUUUGGCCCCCUCAAACCCUAACCUGUUUGUUUUACCGAAAGUGAAAUUCAGGACGGAGUAGACUUUCAGAUCAACUUGAGUUCAAGUAAAAAUUACUUUUUUUUCUGCUGUUUGGUUGUAAUAGUUGUGGAAUUGAAGUUCUUCAAGUUAUACAGUUUAUUUGGCAGAAAAUGAAUGACGUAAAAGUAGGAUGUGUGAUAGAUGGAUUAAUAAUUUUUUUUUUAUUAUUAUUAUUUUCACUUGGGGUGGGAUGAAAUCAAUUACUCUACUUUGGAGAGUUUUGAGUUUUGACCGAAUGUGAAAUUACGUUGAACCAAACAACGGCAGUAGACAUUUACGUCCGUAAACCAUUUCACUCCUUUCCACUUUCAGUGAAACAAACAUAAACCAGGAUAAUAUUGUCGAAUUUGUCAAUGUUGGAUUAUGUAAAAGUAUGAUUUGUGGAAAUGGUAACUUUAGAUUAGUACUGUUUAGGUAGGGUUGCUCUUUUUGGAUGGCUCUAUCUUUAUUCUUGAUGGUAAUUUUGUUUUCCUUUUUUUUCCACACAGAUAAUAAAUACAUAAUUAUGCGUGUAUAACUGUAUAUAAUGGUGUAUGAAUGUAUGUCCAGUGCAUUGUAGGAGGAUAAUGAGAAUUUGCACUAAACAGUCCGCGCCAAACUUUGCUGAUCCUUUGUUCAUAUAUUUUUCCACAUUCUUUAAGUUAGUCUUUUGCAGACUUGUAACUUGUGUCUAAUUUGGCGUGGCCCCGAAAGCAUAAAAAAAAUGGUUCAGAAAAUUUCUGAAAGAAUAAAUUUGAGGGUGGAAUUUUAAUGCUGAUGCAAUUUCUGCAGCGAUGGCAUCCUCUUCUGAUUCAUGGAUUGGGGAGUUUAAUGAUGCUUCUAAACUUGCCGACGAGGUUAGUGCGAUGAUUUCGGAAAGGAGCCGUCUGCCACCUUCAGGCCCGGAAGCACUACGCUAUGCUACUACUAUCCGGAGAAAGAUUACAAUUCUUGGAACUAGACUGGAUGGCUUGGAGUCCCUUCUGUCUAAGCUUCCUGCUAAGCAGACAAUGUAUGAUCUGGCACCUCUCUUGCUUGUCUCCCUGCCAAAAGUGAUGAUGAUGUUUUCACUUUGUAAUAAGCUGUUACUGUCAUUGCUUUUCUCGUCCAUAAUUUUCUUUAAUGGGAUACAAAAUUGAAUCUAUAUGUUUUAUAGUUGCUAUCAAGUUGGAUUUAUAUGAAUUGCUGUUCGAUCUGUUGGGUAAGUUAAACUUUUUUUCGGUGCUUCUAAUUCUUUUCGUGUAAUAUUCUUUCCGGAAUAACUAGUCUUCAUCUCCAUUUUGAGCUUUCAAUUGGCCUUAUGGAACAUGUUUGAAAUUACACUUAUUCUUAAUGUUAGUCGUUUGAAUGCUUAUCUGACAUUUAGCUAAAUAUUCAGAAGUAAAAUCAGUAAGUUGCUAAAAUUCAAUUUCUUGGCAUGUUGCUUUUCUUUCUUAUGAUUCAGUUACUCCAGUUACAAUAAUGAGAAGUAGUGCCUUUUUAUAUCGAAAUUAUGUCCUAGUAGAUCUAUAUCCUUCUGCAUUUAUGUACUCUUUCUGUAAACCUCAUAUUAUCUGCAGAUCUGAUAAGGAGUUGCAUAAGCGCCAGGAUAUGCUUUCUAGUUUGAGAUCUAAAGCAAAAGAGAUGGCCUCAUCGUUCAACAUAUCAAACUUUUCUAGCAGGUUUGCCUACAUUUGAUUUUGUUUAAAGGCUGUAAAAAAACCAUUUUUGAAAAAUGAAAUUAAGUUUGGAUUUUCCUUUUUCUUUUCGGACGACAUUAGGGACGACCUACUUGGGCCGAGCACAAAAACAGCUGAUGAGAUAAACAGAGCUGCAGGGUUGGACAGUCAUGGUAUUGUUGGUUUGCAGAGGCAGAUUAUGAGAGGUACACCUACGAAAUGUACAUUUCUUCAAUACUCAAAAGUCUCUCUUGGCAUUUACAUGCUGUUAUCUACUAUAUAUAGAACAAGAUGAGGGUCUCGAGACGCUAGAGGAGACAGUACAUAGCACAAAGCAUAUUGCAUUAGCAGUCAAUGAAGAACUGGAUCUCCAUACAAGAUUGAUUGUAAGUAUUUAACUAAAACUGAGCAAUUCUUGUAGCCUCUUCACUCUUUGUUCCAUUGUGGAGUAUGGCUUAUCUUCACUUUUGUAAUGCAGGACAACUUGGACCAGCGUGUGGACGUAACGGACUCUAGACUGCAGGUUUUUAACUUGAUUAACUUUUCAUACUUCACGGCAUACUAGUUAUUAUUCUCGUACUGUUGUGAACAUGAAUUUACCAAUAUGCCACUCUAAGAAUUUACCAAAACAAACUAAUUAUGCGUGAUUAUCUCACGAGUUAAUCGUUGUUCCAAGAAAGUUGAUGGAGACGGCCAUUCUGAAAGUGUAGGAGAGCCUCUACUUAUGUUUUAUUUCGUAAUUGAUGCAGCGGGUACGAAAGAGACUGGAAAUACUGAACAAGCGUACAAAAGCCGGCUGUUCGUGCAUGUGCUUGCUCUUAUCGGUUGUUGCCAUAGUGAUACUGGCUCUUGUAGCUUGGGCUCUCAUCAAGUACUUGUAGGAACUGGGCAAGAACUGCUCCAUGUGCACCGUUGAUGUGGAAUAUGCAGCACUCGAAGGAGAAACAGCCUUUUCCUCUAUGUAUGAUGCAAGUUUCAUUUCGUUUUCGUUUGUAAAGAGCUAAAGCUGUUGCGGAGUCUAAUGUCUGUAAGAAGAUCUAUGAAGUCUGGAUUUAAUGCAUGUUGUGGUUCUAAGACUGUCGGAAAUGAGUUGCUUAAAGAGUACUAUAUUUGCAAUUGUUUGCUUUCUUCAUGAUAAAGCAAUUAGUGAUCUUUACCUUGUUCUUUGCAUGGCACAAAUUAUAAUAUUACUCGGCCGACGCUUCGAAAAUCUUCAACUUAUUCAGUGAAGAAGAAUGGGGGAAGGUUCUGGCUCUGACUGUUUAGAGUAUUCUUCUGUUCUGUAAGUCCGGAAAAACAGAUUUUCGCUUCCCUGGAAGUAAAUAUCUGGGAAAGAUAUACAACAUAAA
rnacentral:lncRNA from 1 species